rnacentral:lncRNA from 1 species
GUGGAGGUGGUGGAGACUUAUACUUGUAAACUGGAGAUGGUGGGGGUGGAGACUUGUACUUGUAAGGGUGCUUGGGUGGUGAUGGUGGUGGUGGUGGGGACUUGUACUUGUAAGGAUGCUUGGGUGGUGAUGGUGGUGGAGGUGGAGGAGACUUGUACUUGUAAGGAUGCUUGGGUGGUGAUGGUGGAGGAGGUGGUGGAGACUUAUAGUUGUAAACAGGAGUUGGUGGGGGAGGAGAUUUGUACUUGUAAGGCUUCUUGUGUGGUGGUGGUGGUGGAGAGUAGACCGGAGGAGGCGGUGGUGGAGACUUGUAAUGGUAAGGUGGUGGUGGGUACUUCUUAGGUGGUGGUGGAGGAGAAGAAUAAGUGUAAUCUGCUGAGGUUUCAAAAGGCAAAUUGAGAGACACUGCUAAAACUAAAAGAGUGAGAAAGAGAGAGGUCAUUGAUGACCCCAUUUUCCCCAUCCUUACUUCUAAAAAUGGGUUUAAUUUGGUUAUGCUCUUAGCAGCCCUCUUCACUCCCUUUAUAUAGACUUUGUUUUAAAGUUACAAUCAUGAUAAAAGUGUGAAGGUGGACCGAACCUUCAGCAGCAUUGAAAAAAGACGUUACGUUUAGGUUAUUAGCAUGGUAUGACAUAAUAAUUCUCUAUUCUCUUCCUUGUCGUUUCCCAUAAAUUUAAUUUAAAUAGUCCAUUUGCUAUAUUUAUAUUUCUGUUUCUCUAUUAAAUAUUUAUCAAAUUCAUUUCUCACUCCUUAUAGAAUAUGAAUAAUUAAUCAUUAAACUCGAUUUAGUAAAUACUUUAAAAAAUGAUUUAUCUUAUUUUUAUGCUUUAAUUAAGGCAUCAAAUCAUUAAUCCCAUUUGAUAUUAUGAAAAUUUAUCACUUAAUUGAUCAAAAUGUGAUUCUUGGCAGGAAAACAUAAUUUACUUUCCUUAAAAUGUAAUUUUUAUUGAGAGUUAUUUUUCCACUAACAAUAGAAAGUGAUUCUCUUUAUAAUUCGUGAAAAAAUUACUUUCACAUGUAAAUAAAAAUUGUUAGGAUAAAAUUAACUUUUCUUUUAUUUAUGUUAAGGUUACUAAUUAACUUAUUCAACUUUAAUAAAAGAUAAACAUAGUUGUAGCUUGUUUGUUGAUGUUAGUUUUUUGUCUUUACAACUUCAAACCAUUAUUCUAGUGUAAUUUUUUUUUCUUUCUAAAUAGUAGAUAAGUAUCUAUAUUUUAUUUUGCUAUAAGAAAAUUAUAUUUUUUAGCAUACAAAACUUAAGAUAACUUGUAGAAUCAAGUAGUUGUAUACCUAUUACUCUAGCAAUAAUAAUAUUGACAUUGUCUACUUUCAAAUUAAAAUUUCAAAUUAGUUCAUUGCCCAAUUUUCUCAUUAAAAAAAAUUAUAUAUAACAUGUCAACUUAACGAAACUUACAUGAAAUUUUGUAUGUGUUAAAAAUGAAAAAUAUGGCGGUUAUUAAAAAAGAUGUCAUACAUCUAAAUCAAACUACUAAUUUAAAAAUUAGUAUUGAGAUAAUUUCAAGCCAUAUAUGCAAUAUUUGAGUAUACUUGAACUUAUACAUACAAAUUAGUGAGGAUUAAAAUUUUGUAAAUUGUACAUCUUCACAAUCUUGCGUUAAUAUACAAUUUUUUUAAUGUAUUAAUAUAAUGUUUUAGAUCAAGACGUGAAAAAACAUAAUUCAAAUAUUUGUUAAUAGUAAAAAAUUAUUAAUAAAUAUUUAAUUCAAAAUUUAUUAAUAAUAAAAAUUAUUGAAAAAUAUUAAAUACGUUAAUAUUAUUUUUAUUUAAUAAUGAUACUUUUGUACAGUAAUCUUAUAUUCCCAAAUAAGUGUUAAAUGUGUCAAGAUUUUAAUCAAUACUUUCCGGUGAUUACCAAACGUUGUGAAGUAACUUCUUAAACAAUAAUAUUCUUAUCAAUCACAUUCCAUUAAAAUUUUAACAUAGAAAAGCACCAAAACGCCCCCUUAAAAUCGUGGUAAGUCUUGUUUGUCUAAAAUUUAAAUAUUUAUUUUAUUAUUUAAAAUAUAUUAAUUUUCUAAAAAAAAUCAUUAAUAUUUAUAUUUCUAAUUUUAAACAUUCUUUUGUUAAUUAAAUGAUAGUCUAAACGGUUAAACUCAAAUCGAAAGCAUUUUAUCUUAUAUUAGAUUAUAUGAAUCAUAUUAUGGUUGAAAGUAAAAUGUAUAAAAUCAAUACAAACAUCAAAUAUUAAACUUCCACUCAAUAGAUUUUAAAAUUUCUAAUUUUAUCACUAAUCUAUUUUAAGAUUUUUUUAAAAAAAAUCGUACUUUAGAUUAUCUAAUUUAAAAUUUUAUAAAAUUAUUAAAAAAUAUUCUUGUAAUAAAAAAAAUUUGUUUUAAAAUUUUUAAUUUUUUAUAUAACCAAUGAAUUUUUUACGUUUGUUUUAACUGGUUAUCUAAACAAAAUAAAAACUUAUUUAGUUUAAAUAAAGUGGUAAAUGUGAAAGCACCACAAAUCACAACUACAUUAGUUUUAUAAUUGGAUUAAUUUAAUCACCGGCAGAGGAAAUGUGUUAGUUCUAGCUACCAACAAUUCAUUUUAAUUCCUUUAAAAAUAUUAGAAAAAACCAAUUUGAUUUUUAAUAAUAGAUCUAAUUACUUAAAGGAACAUGGGUGAUGUGCACAUGGCAUACAAGCAUAAAAAAGAACAAAAAGAUUAAGUAUCUUUGCAAAAUAUCUCUCUCUGAAAUAAAUAAAACUUAAAAAAAAACAAUUUUAUUAUCAAAAUAAAAAGAAAAUAGUGUUUUUCUUCACAAAAAAAGAAAAGAAAAGAAAUACUAGUGUUUUUAAUUAAAAUAGAGUGAUCUGGGUAGAAUCUUUUACUUAAAUACUGACAUUGACUUUAUAAGCUAUUUUUUAUCAAAAGAAGAAAGAGAAAAGCAUCCGAUUGAAGAUGUGAAUUAUUAAGUUAAAAUUAAUCAUACAUGUAAAAUAUUAUUGUGCUUUUUUCUAGCCCUCCGAAAGACAUUAUGCUUUGAUUACAACAUUCUUCCUCAGAGAUGAGGUUUGAAGAUGAACUCGGAUGCAUUUAGAUUUUUACAAGACGAAAGUAAAUUAAAGGAUGUUAGUACUUGUAUUCCGAUACGCUUAUAAUACAGAAAGCAAGUAAUAUGUGACUGUACAUAAUGGCUAUGAGGCGAGGAUAUGAUACGAGAAGAUAGAGAUGAGAGAUUGCACUUAAGGGGUUAGCACCUCUUUUCUUUUUGUGUUUGGUCCCCAAAGCAUAUCUCUUAUUGGCUGAUGUUGCAAGGCGGUCCCAUAAGUUGGGCUAAAAGUGCUUGAUAGCUAGAAUUAAUAUUGUGGUAUAACAUAUGUCACCCCUAUAUUUGAAUAAGGUUACAAAGUGACUACUUGAAGAUUUAAAAAAGCAUGGAGAUAAUUUUGUUGCGAAAAUUAAAAGUAAGAGCUAAAUUGUUUGGCUUUAUUAGAGUAUAGACUCUGUUAGUCUAUUAUCAUUUUGUUAUAUAGGCUGGAAUAUUAUUAGUAAGCAGUUAGCAGCAGUUAGUCAUACAAGUAUAAAUUCUAUUCAUGUAUUGUUCAAAGAUAAGCUAAUAAUACCAGAAGAGAUUUAACAUGUUCAUUCUACUUUUUUUUGUUAUUCUUCAUAAUACAGUUGUUAACAUGGUCUCAGUCGCCAAAUUUCUUGGAGGUUGCUUCUAUUGUAGAUCCAUGGCCAAUUCCACUGAUUCUACCUUCGCUGGUCGUAGCAGUCCCUCAUUCUCAGUUCAUGUUUGGUUCAAUCGUUUCCUCGUCAUGGCACUGUGAAGUUAGAUGAAGGAAAUUUUGUACAAUGGCAACAGCAUAUCCAAUUGAUAAUUGAAGGAUAUGAACUCAUAAGAUUUUUAGAAGGGACGUUACCUGCUCCGCCUCGCUUUGUGUCAUCUCCGGAUGGAAACUUAGCUCUGACUCCCGAUGCAUCCCUGUUUGUUCAGCAAGAUAAGUUACUCGCUUAUUGGUUACUUUUUACGAUUAGUGCUCCUUUGUUUUCUUGUUUUACAACUGCUAAGACGGCGUGUGAGGUUUGGAGCACUGCGAAUUGCCUAUUUGCUGCUGCCACUAGAGCCAAGCUUUCGCGUAUUAAGCAUGAACUCCAGUCCAUCACGAAAGGCGUGAUGACUAUCAAAGAGUAUAUUGCUAAGAUUCAAAAUACUUGUGCGUUACUCGAGGAAUCUAGAUCAGUGGUUUUAAAGGCUGAAAAGGUAGAGAUCAUUCUUGCCGGCCUAUUGUCUGAUUAUGAUGUCGUUUUAACUCUGGCAUCGUUCUCAACUGAAACUUUUUCGUUAUAAAAGAUUGUUGAUAUGCUUCUGGAGUUCGAAAGCCAUCAGACUCAAGCGGUGAACGACGUACCUUUUCAUGCUCAUUUGGUAGAGGCCACUUCGGCGACAUCCGUGGAGGACUCCGUACGUGGUGGUCGUCCUCCUUCUGGUGCUCGUAGGCGCGACUUUCGAUCUCAGCUUCAGUGCCAGGACUAUGGUUGCUAUGGACAUUUGGUACAAUGCUGUUAUUAUCAGUUCAACCGCGACUACAGUGAUCUGUCUGUUUUGACCAUGGCGCGGGUUUCGCCUGUUCAUGCUGAUCACAAUUAGCAUAACGAUGUUUUUGGCGCAAGUGGUCUCUCGACUAGCUGGUUUUCAUCAACUUGUCCUGGUCCGGACCCGUUCGUGCCUGGACAGUAUGUCGAUUCUUUGGUGGUGACACCGGCGUAUUUCUCUUAUGGCUCAUCAUGGUGAGGGUGGCCACAUUUGCAAAACAAUGCCUCCCUUGUGCCAAGUUUGUUGAAUGUUAAGGUUUCUAACCCUUUUGCUCAUAAUUUUGACGAUGGGGCAGGCUAGGUGUUUGGGCUCGCUGUUGGACCAAGCUCAAAUUGUGGCCAAUUUGGUGGUCCUCACUUACCGCGGAGAAUGGGCCAGCACGUUAGGCCAUUUGCUAGUGUUCCUAGGCCGACUGGUUCAGGCCAAGAUUUUGGGCCAUAUGGAAUUCGUAGGCUAACCAGUGCUGGUCCUAACAUUGGACAGGGUUCACUUGGGCCAAAUGUUAAUUUUGUUAGACUUGAGGGCUCUUUUGGGCAUGGACAAGGACUUUGGCCCACCACUGGCAAUGUUUCAGUGCCAAAUAAUGGGUCAUGCGUUCCAUGGCGCACUAAACUGACGGCGCACAUUAUUGAUUGAUUUCUCACUGUGUGUUGGGUUGCCUCACAUUCUUGAUUUUCAUGUGUCUGAUAUUUUUACUACCUCUGGGUCCAAUGCUAACACGACUCCGUAUGGGUCUAAUUUUGAUAAUGAUAACUCUUACAUUCCUAUGCCUGUAGGGACCUUGUCCUGGUGUCUUAAUUCAGGGUCUAUACAUCAUGUCUAUCGAGAAGCCUCUACCUUGAACGAGUCUACGCCAUACUCAGGUACAUCUCCUCUCCUCAUGGAUGAUAUUACUCCUACAAAAAUAUCAUGUGUUGGAAACUCUAUCUUGCCUACGAAGACUAAGCUGUUUCAUCUAUCUAAUGUUUUGUGUGUGCCAAAUAUACGGAAGAAUCUGCUAUCUGUCUCUCAAUUUGCUAAUGACAAUAAUAUGGUCUUUGAAUUUCACCCGUCUUAUUGAGGACAUCCAGACUCAGGAAAUUUUGCUUCGGGGCCACACUCGUGAUGGGCUCUAUUAUUUUUCGUAGGUUACUCAUGUUCCGUCUGUCGUUGUUCCUUCUGUUCACAACACUGGGCUCCAGAGUCGCAAUGCCGGUGAUGAUGUUUUUACGUUAUGGCACUACAGACUUGGUCAUCCGUCUGCCUCGAUUGUUAAACUUGUUCUCGAUAAGUGUCAAGUUGUUUCAACUAAAAUGUACCUUGAAAAUAUUUGUAUUGCUUGUCAAAAGGGGAAGUCCCAUAAACUGUCUUUUUCAAGUUCUACUACUAAAUAUACGGAUUUGUUUGAAUUGGUUGUCUUUGACUUAUGUGGACUGGCAUCUGUUGUCUGUAGAAAUAAUCUGUAUCAUGUUUCGUUUAUCGACAUGUGUAGUUAUUUUACUUGGAUUUAUCUCAUUAAACGUAAUUCUAAGGAGGUUGAAUGUUUUCUUCAGUUUCAGAAAAUGGUCAAAACUCAGUUUGGGAAAGAUAUUAAAAAAAUUCAAAGUGAUUGGGGUGGUGAGUUUCUUGCCUUUACGUCAGUUCUGGCUAGUCAUGGGAUACUUCAUCACCUCUCCUGUCCAUAUACAUCCGAGUAGAACGAUGUAGCUGAACGAAAACAUCGACACAUUGUUGAGAUGAGUCUUAUUCUAUUGGCCAAAGCUAACCUAUCCAUGGAUUUCUGUGGUUUCGUAUUUUACAAUGCCAUUCAUCUCAUUAGUCUUCUACCGACCCUAGUUCUGAAAGGUCAGUCUCCAUAUCAGGUUCUUCAUGGUAGUGACCCUACAUAUGAUCAUUUACAAGUAUUUAAGUGUUGUUGAUUUUCGUACCUGCGUCUGUUUCUGCAACACAAGUUGGAUUUUCAUUCUCAGCCAUGCAUAUUUUUUAGGUAUAGUUCUCAACAUAAAGGCUAUCACUGCCUCACACCAAAUGGUAAGGUCAUUGUCUCUCGUCAUGUUGUGUUUGAUGAACGUUGGUUUUUCUUUUCUUCAAAUGCUGUGAACACCGUUCAGUUAAGUCCAUGUAUCUCUACAUAUGUUCCUAUUGUUCGGUCUUCAUCUUGCCGCCCCACGACAUCUUCGCUUGUUCGACCCACUGAGUCAUCGACUCUUGCUCCUAAUUGUAGUUCCACGCUGUCUGUUUCAGUUGACACUCCGGCUGAAUUAGGUUUUACUCAUGAGGUGCAUCGGCUCUCUACCUCAUCCCUUGAAUCUCGUCAAUGCGAUCCAACUACAAUUCCAUUGGCUGUUCCAUCUAUUUCUCUGGAAUACUCAUAACACUAUUACUCAGCUAGACCCAAAGCUCUGUCUGUUGAAAUUGUCAACUGUGAGUCGAUCACGAUUGAAGAGGCGCUCGCUAGUAAGGAAUGGCAAUUAGUUGUCCAAGCUGAGUUUGUUGCUAUAAUGGUUAACUCCACUUGGGAGCUUGUUCCCUUACCUCAUGGUCGAAAAGUGAUUAGGUGUAAGUGGCUUUUUAAAAUAAAAAAAUCCUGAUGGGACUAUCACUUGACGUAAGGCUCGGUUGGAAGCAAAGGGUUGUUCUCAGGUACUCAGGUGUGAUUUCAAGGAAACCUUUAGUUUGGUAGUUAAACCUGCUACUAUUAGAACCAUAUUAUCUGUUGCUAUCUCCAACGGUUGGCAAUUUGGUCAGGUAGAUGUGAACAAUGCUUUUUUAAAUGGUGAUCUUAUUGACGAAGUGUUCAUGCAGCAACCUCUAGGCUAUGUUCAGAUUGGUCAAAAUGGUGAGCCCUUGGUGUAUCAUUUGACAAAGGUGUUGUACAGAUUAAGACAAGCUCCACGUGCUUGGUUUGAUAAAUUGAAACGUUUUUUUGUUUCUAUUGGAUUUGCUUUAUCCAAAUCUGAUGUAUCCUUAUUUGUUCAAGUUAAUUCGAAUCCACUAUUUAUGUUUUAGUCUAUAUGGAUGAUAUUAUCGUUACUAGAAGUACGAUCGACGGUAUAAAUGGCUGUAUUCAAUAGUUACAUAAUGUGUUUCCCUUAAAGAUAUGGGAGAUCUUUACUACUUCUUAGGCAUUGAAGUCACUCGGUAGUCCACUGGGAGUCUCCAUUUGUGCCAACGCAAAUACAUUCGGGAUCUUCUUGACAGUAGUUUUUUAGCUAAUGCAAAGAGUGUUCACACACCGAUGGUUAGUUCUUUUACGUUGUUUAAAGAUGUGGGAGAUCGCCUCGUUGAUCCUACUGGAUAUAGAAGUCUUGUCGGUGUAUUACAAUAUGUGGUCUUGACUCUGCCUGAUAUUGCUUAUGCUAUAAAUCAUGUUUGUCAAUUCAUGCAUGCCCCUACUACAGUACAUUUGGUGGCUUUGAAAAGAAUCUUGCACUAUUUAUGUGACACUAUUAAUCAUGGGUUAAUUUUGUCUGUUCAACAUAUUGUCUUUAGUUGGCUAUGCUAAUGCCAACUGGGGACUGGAUUUUGAUGAUCGUAAAUCAACAACAAGCUAUUGUUUGUAUUUUGGGUAUACACCCAUCUCUUGGUGAUCUAAGAGACAACUCUACUGCGUGAGGCGAAGUAUUUUGGCCGCACCAUGGCUGAGGUGAAGUAUCGAAGUCUAGCAACAACUACCAGUGAUGUUACUUGGUUAGUCUCUCUACUAACAAAAUUACAGAUUCAUUCUAUAGAUCCACAUACUAUUUGGCGUGACAACUCUAAUGCAGUAGCGGUCAUUGCUAAUCCGGUCUGACACUCUAAAUUUAAACAUGCCAAGCUUGAUCUAUUUUUUGUUCGCGAAAAGGUCGCUAAUGGUUCUCUCGUUGUCGGUGAGAUUCUAGCAUGUGAUUAAGUUGCUGACAUUCUCACAAAACCACUGUUCGUCUCUACUUUUGCUAGGUUUCGUAGUCUGCUUCAAUUCUUACCUCUUGAGAAGCUGGGUGAAGCCAGGUGAAUAUUAGAGUAUAGACUCUGUUAGUCUGUUACCAUUUUGUUAUUCAGGCUGGAAUAUUGUUAGUAAGCAGUUAGUCAUAGCAGUUAGUCAUACAAUUAUAAAUUCUAUUCAUGUAUUGUUCAAAGGUAAGCUAAUAAUACCAAAAGAGAUUUAAUGUGCUCAUUCUACUUUCUUUGUUAUUCUUCAUAAUACAGUUGUUAACAUGCUUGAUAUCAUCUCUUAGAGAGAACGAGGAGAGAUAAGAGUAAGAGUAUGAGCCAACUAGGGAUAAGGCUCUACCAUAAUACCUUGGAUGCAAUUAAAGUAAGAGUAAGAGCCAACUUGUUUGGCUUGAUAGCAUCCCCUUAUAGAAAAGGCUCUACCGCAUGGCAUGAGAGCAAUAAAAGUAACACUCAAUUUCUUGGGUUGAUAGCAUCUCCUUAGGGAAAAGGGUUUACCAUGUGACAUGAAAGCAAUUAAAGUAAGAGUAAGAUCCAACUUGUUUGUCUUAAUAGCAUCAUUUAAGAGAAAUAUCCCAAUCAAUUUAUUCAAAUAUGUUAAUCAAAUAAUGCAAGUUACAAUGUUCUGUCAGUUUUUCCUUUAAUUGUAACUGGGUUAAAGUUGGUAGUUGUAACUGCUACUAAUAGAAUGGAUACGGUAGAAAUGGUUGCAAGCAACAUAAGCAAAGAUGACUUUAAUGUCUUUGUAUUGACCACGUGAGAACUAUAGAAUGCAGAGAAUAGUAUGGUGAUUGGCAACAGAAUGCUACUAACCUUGAGGAUAGUAGACAGGGAUGGAUCCACGGGGGUUGGGGGCGGUCCCCCCUUGGAAUUUUUAAAAUUUUAAAUUUUAUAUAUAAAUUAUCAUGUAUUUUAAAUUUGGUGUCCACAUUGUAUAGCAUUCACCCCCCUUUUCCAAAUUGCAUUUCAUAUCAUUUGCCCUCUUAAGCCAUAAGGUUAUACUUUAUAUUAACAAAGUAUUUUCCAUUUUUUAAUUAUAUAAAUUUAAUAAUAAUAAUAAUAAUCAAAUAUUAAUAUAUGAUUGGCAUUGAAAGACUAAACAUAAAGGUCCAGUUGAGACUUUAAAGCCAAAUUCCAUAAUUAAUUAAUUGAUUUGGCCCAUACCAGUACAUAUUAGGUUAGCGAAAUUCUUGUAUUUUGAUUUGUAUGUCUUGCUAAGGAAUUAUCUUCCUUUGGUAAGGUGUUGACACUGCCAAGAGAAAAAGAAAGGAUUUUGAUGUCGAGAUUGUGAGCAUAGAGUAAAAAAAAUACAAAUUAUCUUCCUCUUAGCUCCUUAUGGAAAAAACCUCUCGGUAAAUAUUUUUGCAUAAAUUAUGUUUUUUAUUAAUUUGACUUAGUUUUUUUCUUUUUUCCUAAUACAUUGUUGUUUAAUAUAUUCUUACAAUCAUCAGGUUUUUUGACUAAAUUAUGGUCAAUAAAAACAUCGAAUCUAUUUAAAAAAAAAGAGUGUCAGAAAGCAAUAAUGAUCAACCGGUUCCUCAACCUUCCAUUAUUAGUGAAGAAAAAUCAAAUAUCGGAUCUUCCAAAGCUCUUGAACAAAAUAUCAGGUCUUCUUAAGCCCAAGCUCCUAAAUGCGGUAUGGAGUCUUCCCCAACUCCUGAACGAGAUUGUAACAAUCCAUACCCAAUUCGAUCACCAAAUCCAAGUAGAGAGCGCCGCAACUUAAACCAUAUGAAUUGAAUAAUAAAUAUUUGAAAUUUAUUAAAGUAUCGAGUUCUUGGUGUAACCCUCAGUAUAACAAUACGAAACAAUUAAAUCAAUGAUACGCCAGGAAAAAAUGUUUUUAGGCAAAACACAUGGCGGAAGCCUUACAAAAUUUUAUAAGUUUAUAUAAAAUGUAAGAUGAGUUAAUCCCAUACAACAGUUUCAAGUGCAUCGUUGGCGGUUAAAAGAACAUUCAAAAACUAUUCGGCGUAUAUGCCAAUGAGACAAUCACGUGGAACAAGAUAUAGUAGCUUAAACACAUACAUCACUUACCACGUCAUCAUAACAUAUACUAACCAUAUAAACAAACUUAUCGAGCUGCGAACUAACAAGUUCACCCAAACAUCUAGGGUUAGCGAUAACUUAUUAGAAGAGCCCGCCAAACCCUAGAGUUCGCCAAAACCUGGAGUUCACCAAAUGGCGACUCCCAUAGAAUACGCCAAACACACAACCAAAAAUAAAUACUCUACUAAUUUACUCAUUUUAUAUUCUUAGCAUAAACAACUAUGCACCAAACAGUAACUUGAUACAUUAUCUUUCGGGCGAGUUGUUACAAUUCUCCCCCAUUUAGAAACUUUUGUCCUUGAAAUUCUUACCGGUGAAUAACUGAGGAUAUUGUUCUUUCAUCGAACUCUCUCUUUCCCAAAUGGCUUCUUUUGUAUUGUGAUUUAUCUAUAAUACAUUAACCAAAGGAAUUCUUUUACUUCUCAACUCUUUUACUUCCCUUGCUAAAAUACAAACAGGUUCUUCUUCAUAGGACAAGUUUUGCUCCACUUCCAGUGCUUUGACUUGUACCACAUAAUCUGGAUUGGAUUGAUAUUUUCUUAACAUAGAUAUAUUAAACACAUUAUGUAUAUUUGAUAACUCUGGUGGCAACACCAGUUUGUAUGCCACUGGACCAACUUAUUCCAAAAUCUCAUAUGGUUCUAUGAAAUGCAGACUUAAUUUCCCUUUUUGUUCAAACCUUAUGAUCUUCUUCCAAAGAGAAAACUUCAUAAAUGCAUUGUCACCCACUUCGAAAGAGAUUAUUUUCCUUUUUAGAUCAGCAUAAGCUUUCUGGCGAUCUUAAGUUACUUUCAGAUGAUUUCUAAUGAUAAAGACUUUCUCUUCUGUUUCUCAUACUAAAUCAAGACCAACUAUUUUCCUUUUACUGAGUCUCAUCCAAUAGGUAGGAGAUCUGCACCUUCGUCUAUACAAAGCUCCAAAUGGUAACAUUCCCAGACUGUCAUAAUAACUAUUAUUAUACGCAAACUCUAGCAAAGGAAGAUAUCUUUCUCAAUUCAUUCUAAAAUCUAUAAUACAACCUCUAAACAUGUCUUCUAGAACUUGAAAUACUCUUUCAAAUUGCUCAUCGAAUUAGGGAUGAAAGGUAGUACAGAAUCAUUAUUUCGUUCCCAACGAUUCUUGCAGUUGUCUCCAAAAUCUCAAUGUAAACAUUGGGUCUCGAUCUGAAACUAUGGAUGUUGGAAUCCCAUGAGGCGUACAACUUCAGAAACGUAGAGAUUAGCCAACUUUUCCAAUAAGUAAUUUGUGCGGACAAACAAGAUAUGGGCUAACUUAGUAAGUCGAUCUACAAUUACCUAGACUGAGUACUUCUUCGAAAGGAUGAGAGGGAGAGCCAAAACAAAAUCCAUGGUGAUCUUAUCCCACUUCCACAUAGAUAUCUCUAAAAGGUACAACUUGCCUAAGGGAACCUGAUGUUCUAUUUUAAUCUGCUGACAUGUCAAACAAAUGGAAAUGUACUUUGUUAUUUCUUUCUUCAUUUCAAGUCAGUAAUACAAACUUAUCAAAUUAUGAUACAUUUUAUGUAAAACUCUCAACCCAACUCGAAAUGUCGAGUCUGGAUCUCGGGUAUUACUAUACAUAAUACUUGGCAAAAUAUCAAAAUAGUUGACAAAUACUCUUUAUAGAAAACAUUUUCUUAUUAUUUUAACCAAAAGACUAAAUAUUUAAUAACAAGAGAAAAUAUUAAAAACAAAAAAAAAUUAUUACAUCAGACUUGGUACAACUCAUUAUAGUAUAAAAUUUUGUUAAAGACAUACUCUUGGGGCAUAACCCUAAUCUAAGCCACUUUUCCACUAUAUGCAUAAUAACCCACUUCGCCACUAUCUUGGCGUACUCCUAGCAUCGUCACUCCUAAUGCAUUCUCUACCCAUACACCUGAAAACAACAACAUUUUAAGCUUAAGAUAACUUAGUGACUUUUAUCCCAAAAAUACCUUGGCGAGUACUUUAUAUUAUUUGAAGAACAUUUGUGCGCCAUCUAUCCUUCUGAACCACCUUCUUCUGAAUUAAGUGGAUACUAUUAUAGAUUCAACUUUCACUUACACGCCAACUAUCAUACUCUUAACAAACUCACUUAUUCUAGAAUAGUUGUUCACAUAUAUUAAUCACUAAUUGAUACAUUCAUAUUUGGCGAAUACUUACGCAGAUCUGAAUACCAUCAAACUACUAAUCAAAUCAUACCUUGAUCCGAUACCAUACAAACUCAUACUGAUAAUGUACUACACAAAUUAUUCAAAUGAAUUUUCCACUACUUUGUUACAGGACCCCAGAUAAUCAUCAUAACAAUAACUCAAUUUUCAUAUGAUUUCAGAAGAAGAUAUAAUACAACCCAAAUACGGCAAAUUCCAGAUAACUCAGAUUCAACAACUGCUUAACACAUACGAACUCACAUUUAUAAUUUCUUAUGUCCCACAUAACUACGACUAUGUCUAUAUUCAACACUAACAAAUAAUCAUGACGGAUACCCUUCUUAUACAUAUAUGCAUUUCUUUUCUAGAAAUCUCUUAAGACUUACUCAAUUAUAUCACAUAUCUUAUUCAACCCUUAACUUUAGACAUAUCAUAACCCUAUCAUAUCAAUAUCUAUCACAAAAAAAAUCAGGAUUUAUCCAAAACUUACCAUAAAGGUAGAUAAUCAUAUUAUAUCAGACAAACUUAACUAAAUGUGCCACAAAGGCCAAACAAAAUAUGCCUUAAAGGCUUCAUACAAAAUCACGUGUUUACUAUCCCGACGGACUAUCACAAAAGGUGUCAUGGGUUUCUCCCACAUGGACUUAUACAUAAUUUCAUGUAUUGUGAUCUGCCAUUUUGAAUCAUACGUUAUCGAAGGAUACUCCAUAAGCAUACAUACAGACAUAUCUUGCCAUGUGUCUCAGCCACAUGGCUUAAACACACAUUCAUGUACUGUGAUAUGUCAAUCCAGUCUUACUCUUAUUAGAGCCUACACCAUGAGUGUUUUCAAAUCAUAUUAAGAUGUUGUAGGUCUCAACCUCAUAGUCUUACACUUGUUUUCAUAUCGUGACCUGCCAGUCUAGUUAGCAAUAUAAUUGCCUACCAGAGGCUUCAUAGAGGAACAUUUGCUUAGAUUCACUUACCUAGAUGAUCUGUAACACCCCUUACCCGAGACCGUUGUCAGAGUCGAGCACGAGGUAUUACUUAUCUUAUCUUACUAACUCGAAGCAUAAAAACUUGUUUUAAAAAUUAAUUUCACUAUUUAUAGCAAUUUGUCCAAUCGCGCAGCAGUUACUAAAUUAAUUAUAACUCGAGAUACGGAACUUGAAAUUUAACUCCGUAAAUUUUCCCUGAAACUAGACUCAUAUAUCUUCCUACCAUAAAAAUUUUAGGAUUUUUAGUUUAUCAAAUUAGUACAGUUUAUUAGUUAAAUUCUCCCCUGUUUCACAAAUCGACUGCCCUGACCUCUUAUCACUAAAAAUAAAAUGUAUCAUUGUGGGAUUUUCGUAUAGUGCUACCGCUUGCUUCUACAGAAAAUAGACUCAAUAAGGAAUCUAUACAUAUAAACUACAACUCAUAAAUAUUUUUUUAAAAUUUUUAAUGAUUUUAUAAACUCAAAACAGGGGUCACCAAAAACUGUUCUAACCCUGUCUCACCAAAAUUCACAUAUCUUAAAAUAUAAAUUCCUUUUGCUACACCGUUAUUUUUAUGUGAAAAUAGACUCAACAAGAUUUAUGUCAUUCAAUAUUUAAUUCAUUUUAUACUAUCCUAGGUGAUUUUUCAAAGUCACGUCACUGUUGCUGCCUGAAUUCUGUUUCUUUGCAAAAUUUUACCCUUUUAUGAUUUCCAUGCAUAGUUUAUCACUUAGACUCUUAUAACAACAAACACUUCCAUACUUAACCAUUUUAGCAACCAUUCAUCAUCAAAUACUUACACAUCAUUCUUUAGCAAGAUCAUAAAUACAAACAUUUAAAAUAACUAAAUCCCUUUACAUUCCAUACUCAACAUGGUUCAACAUAAAAAUACCGAGUUGCUGUGGUUGAUAGUGUGGACGAUCUCCGACUUCUUUAGGAUCCUUGAAGUAACCUUGCAAUACUAUAAGAGAAAGAGAAAUAAAAGACGUAAGCAUAAAGCUUAGUAAGUUUACUAGCAAAUAAAUAACAAUAUUUAACUAGAUAAUUAAACUCAAGUGUCUAUAUCUCUAGUUUACUAUUUAGUUAAUCUCAUUCUAGUUCUCUUGCUUGUUUACUUAGUAUACUUGUGUGCAUAACUUACUCCUCUCUUGCUGUAUAGUUGAAUAUCAAUUGAUAAUAUAAUAAGUUAUUAACUCUUAUAACUUACCUGAACUUGCCAUUUAUGUUUUUAACUGAACUUUCCUGAACAUGAUUCGUUAUUUAGCCCGUUGAGCUACAUUGGAACAAUAAGGAUACUCGGGUCUCUUCUGAUAAUAACAUGCCAAAGCCAUGUCCCAGACAUGGUCUUACAUGGGAUGUACUCAUGUCGGUGCCCAUUCCAUAUCCCAGACAUGGUCUUACGGGGGACCUCUCAUCUCGGUGCCAAUGCCAUGUCCCAGACAUGGUCUUACAUGGGACCUCUCAUCUCGGUGCCAACGCCAUGUCCCAGACAUGGUCUUACAUGGGACCUCUCAUCUCGGUGCCAACGCCAUGUCCCAGACAUGGUCUUACAUGGGACCUCUUUACCCAAAUGUCAUGACAUUCGUAUCCAGUACCAUCCUUACUAUUCAUGACAACCGAUAUAUAUAUAUACAUACUCACUAUUCACAAGGACUCGAACGAUUAUAUACUCAUCAACCACCUUAAAACAAUGUUCAUAAACUUAUCCAUUUCAUAUAAACAAAAGCAUAUAUAUUUAUAACCAAUGCAUAGAAUCACUUAAUUUAAACAGAUUCACUGGCACUUCACCUGAUAGGCUUAUAGUUUAAUUCAGUUCACCGGCACUUAGCCUACUAGGCUUGUAGCCUGAUUCAGUUCACCGGCACUUAGCCUGCUAGACGUAUAGUCCGAUUCAAUUCACCGGCAUUUAGCCUGCUAGACGUAUAGUCUGAUUCAAUUUACCGGCACUUAGCCUGCUAGACGUAUAGUCUGAAUAAUUUUACUGGUAAUAAAUCCGAUAGUAAUUUCUCCGUUGAAAUUGAAUUAUAUUCAAUUCUGCGUAACAAACAUGCACUUAAAACAUACUUGCAUAAUUCACAACAAUAAUUUCAGUCCAAAGAGCUGUAAUUCAUAUUCGAACUAUAUAUAUAUAAAUCCAUACAUAAAAAUUCAACUCAAAAUUUAUAACCUAUAUCUUUGAACCACAUAGGUACAUGAAAUUCAAACACCAAAAUCCAGCUCAAUAACUUCAUGAUUCAACCUAACAAAUUUAUGUAUAUAACUUUUUAUCUAAUUUCAAUACAAUAACUUAUACAUGUACGUAUAUACAUAUUCGAAUCUAACAUAUACAUAUAUAAUUUCAUACUUAAAUAUAUUCAAGACUUAUUCAUGAGUAUACAUAUAUAUUACAACUCACAUGUACAUAUAUAUACACAUUCAUACCUUUAACCAAGUCCAAGGCUUUAUACAUGUAUAUGCUUAUAUAUAUAUAUUCGGACCUUAUGUUUACAUAUAUAUAUUAUAUAAAUACCUUUGAUUAAAAACAAGUAUUUAUACAUAUAUAUAUUUUCGAACAUGAUACAUAUAUAUUUAUAUCAUUCAUACUUAAACAAAAUUCAAUCCAUAUACUUUCAAUUUCAGCUCACCAAAUUACUAUAGAUAUACAUGCAUAUAUACUGAUUUAAUAACCUCAAAUUGCUAAUAGACUUACCUCGGAUAUCAGCGGACACGAUCGAGUAUUCGAUUACUUUCGUUUUUCCCCGAUCCAAAUUCGUUUUCUUCGUUUUUUAUCUUAAUUAGACCUAGAGAUAGCCGAACCUUGUUGUUCUCUUUUCUUUUCUUUUCUUUUUCUUUUCUAUAUUCGGCCAAGAUGAAGAACAUGGCAUUUAAAAUUUGUUAUAUUAAACAUAUAUUAGCCUUAUUUUUAAUUUACUAUAUUAACCUUUACAUAUAUAUAACAUAUAUAAUAAGGUUACAUUAGUCCUUUGCCACCCACUAACUUACAUAGUGGACUAAUUGCAUAGUAAAACCUCUAAAUUAUAAAGACAACAAGAAUUAGGUCCUUUUAUAAUUAACCCCUAAAUUUUCAUUUUACGCGAUUAAGCCCUUUUAUUAAAUCGGACACUUAAACGACGAAAUUAAAACACGAAAAUUUCACACAAUCAAAUGCAUACAAAACAAUAUUAAUAAUAUUUUUCUAAUUCAAAUUUGUGGUCCCGAAACCAGUAUUCUGAUUAGGGUCAAAAACCGGGUUGUUACAACUCUCCCCCCUUAGGGAUUUUCGUCCCCGAAAAUCUUACCGGUGAAUAGGUUUGGAUAACGCUCUUUCAUUGUAUCUUCUAACUCCCAAGUUGCUUCUUCAACCCCAUGUUUAUGCCACAACACUUUAACUAACGGAAUUUUCUUAUUUCGUAAUUCUUUGAUCUCACGAGCCAGAAUGCUAAUCGGUUCUUCCUCAUAUGUCAUAUCAGAGUUAAUUUCAAUCUCCGUCGGACUAAUCACAUGUGAAGGAUCAGAUCGGUAUCUACGAAGCAUCGAAACAUGGAAUACGUUAUGAAUCUUUUCUAACUCAGGCAGUAACAUCAAUCUAUAAGCAACCAAUCCAACUCGCUCUAUAAUCUCAUACGGUCCAAUGAAUCUCGGACACAAUUUGCCUUUACGACCAAAUCUGAGUAUUUUCUUCCACGGUGAGACUUUUAAAAACACUUUAUCCCCGAUCUGAAAUUCUAUAUCCUUUCUUUUCAAAUUCGCAUAAGAUUUCUGACGAUCCGAUGCUGAUUUCAGACUGUCCCGAAUCACUUUCACUUUCUGUUCGGUCUCUUUAAUCAAAUCAACCCCGUGUAUCUUAUUUUCACUGAGCUCGGUCCAAUACAGUGGUGUACGACAUUUACAACCGUACAAAGCCUCAUAAGGUGCCAUUUUGAUACUAGAUUGAAAGCUAUUAUUAUAAGCAAAUUCAAUCAAAGGUAAGUAUCGUUCCCACGUACCUUCAAACUCGAGAAUGCAACAUCUCAACAUAUCCUCAAGUAUCUGAAUGAUUCAUUCAGAUUGACCAUCUGUCUGCGGAUCGAAAGCUGUGCUAAAAUGUAGUUUCGUACCUAAAGCAUCUUGUAGUUUCUUCCAAAAUCGCGAUGUGAAUCUCAGAUCUCUGUCUGAAACAAUAGAAAUAGGUACACCAUGCAACCUCACAAUUUGUGAAAUAUACAAUUCCGCAAGUUUAUCGAGCGAAAAAUCUGUACGAAUCGAAAUAAAAUGUGUCGAUUUUGUCAACCUAUCAACAAUAACCCAGAUUGCAUCUAUCUUGCUCGGUGUCAACGGUAAAUCGGAUACAAAAUCCAUCGUGACUCGAUCCCAUUUCCAUUGAGGUAUCAUGAUCGGCUGAAGCAACCCAGAUGGUACCUGAUGCUUGGCUUUAACUUGCUGACAAAUUAAACAUUUCGAAACAAAGUCAGAAAUGUCUCGUUUCAUACCUUGCCACCAAUAGUGCUGUUUCAGAUCGUUAUACAUUUUCGUGCUACCCGGAUGAACAGAAAAUCGACUACUAUGAGCUUCCUUCAAAAUCAUCUAAAUUAACUCUGAUUUUUUCGGAACACAUAAUCGGUUUCUAAAUCUCAAACAAUCCUCAGCAUCAACUAAAAACUCCGAAUCAAUAUUUAAGUCACAUUGAGCUCGUUUUGCAGUUAAAUCAUUAUCGACCUUUUGAGCUUCACAAAUCUGUUGUACAAAUAACGGUUUUGCUUUCAACUCAGCUACUAUCGCACCAUCAUCAGACAUAACCAUAUGUGCGUUCAUUGCACGCAAAGCAAACAGUGAUUUUCGACUUAGGGCAUCAGCAACAACAUUAGCCUUUCCCGGAUGAUAGUCAAUCACAAGCUCGUAUUCUUUCAGCAAUUCUAACCAUCGACGCUGUCUCAAAUUCAGAUAUUUCUGAGUCAUCAAAUAUUUCAGGCUUUUGGGAUCGGAAUAAACAUGACAUCUUUCACCAAACAGAUAGUGACGCCAUAUUUUUAACGCAAAUACAAUAGCGGCCAAUUCCAGAUCAUGUGUCGGAUAGUUUUUUUCAUGCGGCUUUAACUGUCUCAAGGCAUAGGCUACAACUUUGCCUUCCUACAUCAAAACACAACCCAAACCAUUUAAAGAUGCAUCACUAUAGAUAACAAACUCUUUACCCGAUUCGGGUUGAACUAAGACUGGAGCUUCGGUCAAAAGAACUUUCAACUGAUCAAAGUUUUUCUGACACUUUUCUGACCACUCGAACUUAACGUCUUUUUGUAGUAGCUUUGUCAUCGGGGUCGCAAUCAUAGAAAACCCUUUCACGAACCGUCUAUAAUAACCAGCGAGCCCCAGAAAGCUUCGAACAUCAGAGACAUUUCUCGGAGGUUUCCAAUCAAGUAUAGCUGAAAUUUUACCUGGAUCAACUCGAAUACCCGAUGCUGACACAACAUGGCCCAGAAAACUAACUUCACGUAACCAGAACUCGCAUUUACUGAACUUUGCAUACAACUGUUUAUCUCGCAAAGUUUGUAACACAAGUCUCAGAUGUUCAGUAUGCUCGGUUUCAUCACGAGAGUAGAUCAAAAUAUCAUCUAUAAAUACUACCACAAAUCGAUCCAGAUACUGUCUAAAAAUCUGAUUCAUCAAAUCCAUGAAAACAGCAGGUGCAUUAGUAAGUCCAAAAGGCAUAACCAAGAACUCAUAAUGUCCGUACCUCGUUCGGAAAGCUGUCUUUGGCACAUCAGAGUCUUUAACUCGCAACUGAUAGUAGCCUGAUCUCAGAUCUAUCUUCGAAAACACAGUAGCCCCUUUCAACUGAUCGAACAAAUCAUCAAUCCGUGGUAACGGAUACUUAUUCUUUAUAGUCACCUUAUUGAGUUGCCGGUAAUCAAUGCACAUUCUCAUUGUUCUGUCUUUCUUUUUCACAAAUAGAACUGGUGCACCCCAAGGAGAGAAACUCGGUCGUGUAAAACCUUUAUCAGUCAACUCUUGCAACUGUACUUUCAAUUCUUUUAAUUCGGUCGGUACCAUACGGUACGGAGCUAUCGAAAUUGGAGUUGUCCCUGGUACUAACUCAAUACCAAACUCUACCUCUCGAAUAGGUGGCAAACCCGGUAAUUCUUCGGGAAACACGUCUGAAUACUUACACACUACUGGCACAGAUUCAAUCUUCUUUUCGGUCACUUUACUAUCAAGAAAAAAUGCAAGGUAAUCUUCACAACCUUUUCUCACAUACUUCUGAGCCGACAUCGAGGAUAUUAUUGCUGGUAAACCAUUCAGAUCAUUAGAUUCAAUCCGAAUAAUCUCAUCAUUCUGACACCGUAGAUCAAUAGUUUUCCGUUUGCAGUUUACUAUAGCAUUAUGCAGAGUUAACCAAUCCAUACCCAGAAUUAUAUCAAACUCGUCAAAUGGUAGCAACAUCAAAUCAGCCAGAAAACAUAAAUCUCGAAUCAUCAACGGACAAUUCUUGCACACUUUGUCAACCAAAACACACCGGCCCAAGAGGUUCAAUACUUUAAUUACAAACUCAGUAGACUCAACAGGCAAAGUCUUACUGAAUACUAAAGUCUCACACACAUAAGAAUGAGUCGAACCAAGAUCAAUCAAUGCAAUAACAUUAGUAUCAUAAAGAGUGAAAGUACCAGUAAUAACAUCUGGAGAAGAAGCCUCCUCCCGAGCACGGAUGGCAUAUGCUCUGGCAAGUGCACGAGCCUCAGAUCGAACUGCCAUGUCCUUUGUUCCUCUCUGACUGCCACUUACAUUACUCAAUUGCCUCGGCGGUCUACCUCGUACAGGUACUUUACUCGGUCUGGUAUUCUACACAGUGUUUUGCUCAGCUACCAUCGGACACUCUCGAAUGAAAUGAUCCUUUGAACCGCACUUAAAGCAAGACCGAUCAUGUAAUCUGCAAUCUCCAGGAUGCCAUUUCCCACAAUGCUUGUACUCUGAUCUAUUUUGUCGAACACUACCAACGCUAGCAACUGAAGUAGCUCGUGAACUCACAGGGGGUCGAUCUCGAUCAUACUUAGGAAACCCUGCAGUAGCUUUAGAUCGGCUAUGAUCCUCUCUGGAUUUCAUUGAGGUCGACUGGAAUGAUUUACUGAAUGAUCUUUUACGAGAAUCUCGAGCUUCAUAGCCAGCUUUCCUCUUCUCUUUACUGAGCUCCUUAACUUUACAAGGUCGUUCAACAAGUACUACGAACUCUUUUAUCUCAAGUAUACCAAAUAACAGUUUAAUAUCUUCAUCCAGCCCAUCUUCAAAUCUUUUACACAUGAUAGCUUCAGUCGAAAUACAUUCUCGAGCAUAUCUACUGAGUCUCACAAAUUUCCGCUCAUAUUCUAUCACUGUCAUACGACCCUGUUUCAAUUCAAGAAAUUCCUUAUGCUUCUGAUCAAUGAAUCUUUGGCUGAUGUAUUUCUUACAGAACUCAAUCUGAAAGAAUUCCCAGGUCACUCGCUCUUUCGGAACCACCGAUACUAGUGUAUUCCACCAGUGAUAUGCAGUGUCCCGUAGCAAAGAUAUGGCACAUUUCAAGUACUCAUCAGGGGUGCAAGAUAACUCAUCAAACACUCGAAUAGUAUUAUCAAGCCAGAAUUCAGCUUGCUCAGCAUCAUCAUCAUCAGUAGCUCUGAACUCUUCGACCCCGUGUUUUCAAAUUUAGUCAACAGGAGGCUUAAGUAAUCUCAUCGGAUCACUUACUUGAGGUAUAAUAGGAAUCGAAGGUGGAUUAGUCGGGGGUGGAGUUUGUUGUGCAACCGGAUUAGUUCGGACAUAUUGAGUAAACCAGUCAUUCAUCAUUUGGUAGAAGGCUUGUUUAGCCUCUCCCUCCUGGUUACUCGAGGUCGGUCGAGAAUCUACCAGCUCUGUCCCUUGUGUGGGAGCAGGCGCUAUACUCUCAACAUCAUCGACUACGGCUGGAUCGGGAUCCAUUACUAUACGAAAACACAUUUUUAGACAUCAGCAGUCAUCGCACUAUCUUGGUAUAAAAAUAUGGCAUGUAUAGCUAGACUCAUACAUGCUACAUUAGUCCAAGAAUCGAUUAAACCGUAGCUCUGAUACCAAUAAAAUGUAACACCCCUAACCCGUAUCCGUCGCCGAAUUAGGGUUACGAGGCAUUACUGAACAAAUACAACCAUUUUUAAAACCAACUGAUCACAAACAUGAAAAUUAAAUCAUUUUCACAUAGCUAUUUAUAAUUUACAAUCAACAUCUAACCAACAUCGUACUCAAACCUAUACAUGCCAUAAGAUCAAGUUCAAAUAUUUAACAAAAUACCAAAAGGGGUCGAAAGUGUGAUAGACUAUGCUGAUGAUCCCCGAGCUCGUAACGCAUCUCCAAAAUCUAUAAAAACAAAUGGACAAAAACAAUCAAAGUAAGCUUUUAUAGCUUAGUAAGUCUAUAGCAUAUCUAAAAUACAUAUAAAAGAAUCAUAUAAUUCUUAAAAUAAAUUUAUUGAAAUCACAAUUAUCAAUUAUAAUUACUAAUCGAACAUUGCUAUAUUAAGUCAUCUUGUUUAAAUCUAAAAGGAUGUGUAUUUAUCUAAUACACAUGAACGGACAAAUGUAUAUACAUUAUAUGCAUAUAAUCAAUUUACUAACAUAAUCAUUAAUUGCAUAUACGGAUUUCUAUAGUACUUAUUGUUCGCACUUAAUCGGAUCCAUUUAAAUAUAAUUGUUCAAAUACAUAUACCAAAAGCAUAAUAAUUUUAUACUUGAUCAACUAUAAGUGCCGAAUGCACAUAUACACCUAUACCCACCUAUGCCGAAUGCAUACAUAUAUACACAUAUAUAUAUAUCCAACAAUUUCGUGACAACCGAUAUAUAUAUACAUACUCACUAUUCACAAGGACUCGAACGAUUAUAUACUCAUCAACCACCUUAAAACAAUGUUCAUAAACUUAUCCAUUUCAUAUAAACAAAAGCAUAUAUAUUUAUACCCAAUGCAUAGAAUCACUUAAUUUAAACAGAUUCACUAGCACUUCACCUGAUAGGCUUAUAGUUUAAUUCAGUUCACCGGUACUUAGCCUACUAGGCUUGUAGCCUGAUUCAGUUCACCGGCACUUAGCCUGCUAGACGUAUAGUCCGAUUCAAUUCACCGGCAUUUAGCCUGCUAGACGUAUAGUCCGAUUCAAUUUAUCGGCACUUAGCCUGCUAGAUGUAUAGUCUGAAUAAUUUUACUGGUAAUAAAUCCGAUAGUCAUUUCUCCGUUGAAAUUGAAUUAUAUUCAAUUCUGCGUAACAAACAUGCACUUAAAACAUACUUGCAUAAUUCACAACAAUAAUUUCAGUCCAAAGAGCUGUAAUUCAUAUUCGAACUAUAUAUAUAAAUCCAUACAUAAAAAUUCAGCUCAAAAUUUAUAACCUAUAUCUUUGAACCACAUAGGUACAUGAAAUUCAAACAACAAAAUCCAGCUCAAUAACUUCAUGAUUCAACCUAACAAAUUUAUGUAUAUAACUUUUUAUCUAAUUUCAAUACAAUAACUUAUACAUGUACGUAUAUACAUAUUCGAAUCUAACAUAUACAUAUAUAAUUUCAUACUUAAAUAUAUUCAAGACUUAUUCAUGAGUAUACAUAUAUAUUACAACUCACAUGUACAUAUAUAUACACAUUCAUACCUUUAACCAAGUCCAAGGCUUUAUACAUGUAUAUGCUUAUAUAUAUAUAUAUUCGGACCUUAUGUUUACAUAUAUAUUAUAUAUAAAUACCUUUGAUUAAAAACAAGUAUUUAUACAUAUAUAUAUUUUUGAACAUGAUACAUAUAUAUAUUUAUAUCAUUCAUACUUAAACAAAAUUCAAUCCAUAUACUUUCAAUUUCAGCUCACCAAAUUACUAUAGAUAUACAUGCAUAUAUACUGAUUUAAUAACCUCAAAUUGCUAAUAGACUUACCUCGGAUAUCAGCGGACACGAUCGACUAUUCGAUUACUUUCGUUUUUCCCCGAUCCAAAUUCGUUUUCUUCGUUUUUUUAUCUUAAUUAGACCUAGAGAUAGCCGAACCUUGUUGUUCUCUUUUCUUUUCUUUUCUUUUUCUUUUCUAUAUUCGGCCAAGAUGAAGAACAUGGCAUUUAAAAUUUGUUAUAUUAAACAUAUAUUAGCCUUAUUUUUAAUUUACUAUAUUAACCUUUACAUAUAUAUAUAACAUAUAUAAUAAGGUUACAUUAGUCCUUUGCCACCCACUAACUUACAUAGUGGACUAAUUGCAUAGUAAAACCUCUAAAUUAUAAAGACAACAACAAUUAGGUGCUUUUAUAAUUAACCCCUAAAUUUUCAUUUUACGCGAUUAAGCCCUUUUAUUAAAUCGGACACUUAAACGACGAAAUUAAAACACGAAAAUUUCACACAAUCAAAUGCAUACAAAAUAAUAUUAAUAAUAUUUUUCUAAUUCAAAUUUGUGGUCCCGAAACCAGUAUUCUGAUUAGGGUCAAAAACCGGGUUGUUACAACUCUCCCCCCUUAGAGAUUUUCGUCCCCGAAAAUCUUACCGGUGAAUAGGUUUGGAUAACGCUCUUUCAUUGUAUCUUCUGACUCCCAAGUUGCUUCUUCAACCCCAUGUUUAUGCCACAACACUUUAACUAACGGAAUUUUCUUAUUUCGUAAUUCUUUGAUCUCACGAGCAAGAAUGCUAAUCGGUUCUUCCUCAUAUGUCAUAUCAGAGUUAAUUUCAAUCUCCGUCGGACUAAUCACAUGUGAAGGAUCAGAUCGGUAUCUACGGAGCAUCGAAACAUGGAAUACGUUAUGAAUCUUUUCUAACUCAGGCAGUAACAUCAAUCUAUAAGCAACCAAUCCAACUCGCUCUAUAAUCUCAUACGGUCCAAUUAAUCUCGGACACAAUUUGCCUUUACGACCAAAUCUGAGUAUUUUCUUCCACGGUGAGACUUUUAACUUGCUCGGUGUCAACGGUAAAUCGGAUACAAAAUCCAUCGUGACUCGAUCCCAUUUCCAUUGAGGUAUCAUGAUCGGCUGAAGCAAUCCAGAUGGUACCUGAUGCUCGGCUUUAACUUGCUGACAAAUUAAACAUUUCGAAACAAAGUCAGAAAUGUCUCGUUUCAUACCUUGCCACCAAUAGUGCUGUUUUAGAUCGUUAUACAUUUUCGUGCUACCCGGAUGAACAGAAAAUCGAAUACUAUGAGCUUCCUUCAAAAUCAUCUGAAUUAACUCUGAAUUUUUCGGAACACAUAAUCGGUUUCUAAAUCUCAAACAAUCCUCAGCAUCAACUAAAAACUCCGAAUCAAUAUUUAAGUCACAUUGAGCUCGUUUUGCAGUUAAAUCAUUAUCAACCUUUUGAGCUUCACAAAUCUGUUGUACAAAUAACAGUUUUGCUUUCAACUCAGCUACUAUCGCACCAUCAUCAGACAUAACCAUAUGUGCGUUCAUUGCACGCAAAGCAAACAGUGAUUUUCGACUUAGGGCAUCAGCAACAACAUUAGCCUUUCCCGGAUGAUAGUCAAUCACAAGCUCGUAAUCUUUCAGCAAUUCUAACCAUCGACGCUGUCUCAAAUUCAGAUAUUUCUGAGUCAUCAAAUAUUUCAGGCUUUUGGGAUCGGAAUAAACAUGACAUCUUUCGCCAAACAGAUAGUGACGCCAUAUUUUUAACGCAAAUACAAUAGCGGCCAAUUCCAGAUCAUGCGUCGGAUAGUUUUUUUCAUGCGGCUUUAACUGUCUCAAGGCAUAGGCUACAACUUUGCCUUCCUACAUCAAAACACAACCCAAACCAUUUAAAGAUGCAUCACUAUAGAUAACAAACUCUUUACCCGAUUCGGGUUGAACUAGGACUGGAGCUUCGGUCAAAAGAACUUUCAACUGAUCAAAGUUUUUCUGACACUUUUCUGACCACUCGAACUUAACGUCUUUUUGUAGUAGCUUUGUCAUCGGGGUCGCAAUCAUAGAAAACCCUUUCACGAACCGUCUAUAAUAACCAGCGAGCCCCAGAAAGCUUCGAACAUCAGAGACAUUUCUCGGAGGUUUCCAAUCAAGUAUAGCUGAAAUUUUACUUGGAUCAACCUGAAUACCCGAUGCUGACACAACAUGGCCCAGAAAACUAACUUCACGUAACCAGAACUCGAAUUUACUGAACUUUGCAUACAACUGUUUAUCUCGCAAAGUUUGUAACACAAGUCUCAGAUGUUCAGUAUGCUCGGUUUCAUCACGAGAGUAGAUCAAAAUAUCAUCUAUAAAUACUACCACAAACAGAUCCAGAUACUGUCUAAAAAUCUGAUUCAUCAAAUCCAUGAAAACAGCAGGUGCAUUAGUAAGUCCAAAAGGCAUAACCAAGAACUCAUAAUGUCCGUACCUCGUUCGGAAAGCAGUCUUUGGCACAUCAGAGUCUUUAACUCGCAACUGAUAGUAGCCUGAUCUCAGAUCUAUCUUCGAAAACACAGUAGCCCCUUUCAACUGAUCGAACAAAUCAUCAAUCCGUGGUAACGGAUACUUAUUCUUUAUAGUCACCUUAUUGAGUUGCCGGUAAUCAAUGCACAUUCUCAUUGUUCCGUCUUUCUUUUUCACAAAUAGAACUGGUGCACCCCAAGGAGAGAAACUCGGUCGUGCAAAACCUUUAUCAGUCAACUCUUGCAACUGUACUUUCAAUUCUUUUAAUUCAGUCGGUGCCAUACGGUACGGAGCUAUCGAAAUUGGAGUUGUCCCUGGUACUAACUCAAUACCAAACUCUACCUCUCGAAUAGGUGGCAAACCCGGUAAUUCUUCGGGAAACACGUCUGAAUACUUACACACUACUGGCACAGAUUCAAUCUUCUUUUCGAUCACUUUACUAUCAAGAAAAAAUGCAAGGUAAUCUUCACAACCUUUUCUCACAUACUUUUUUGCCGACAUCGAGGAUAUUAUUGCUGGUAAACCAUUCAGAUCAUUAGAUUCAAUCCGAAUAAUCUCAUCAUUCUGACACCGUAGAUCAAUAGUUUUCCGUUUGCAGUUUACUAUAGCAUCAUGCAGAGUUAACCAAUCCAUACCCAGAAUUAUAUCAAACUCGUCAAAUGGUAGCAACAUCAAAUCAGCCAGAAAACAUAAAUCUCGAAUCAUCAACGGACAAUUCUUGCAUAUUUUGUCAACCAAAACACACCGGCCCAGGGGGUUCAAUACUUUAAUUACAAACUCAGUAGACUCAACAGGCAAAGUCUUACUGAAUACUAAAGUCUCACACACAUAAGAAUGAGUCGAACCAAGAUCAAUCAAUGCAAUAACAUUAGUAUCAUAAAGAGGGAAAGUACCAGUAAUAACAUCUGGAGAAGAAGCCUCCUCUUGAGCACGGAUGGCAUAUGCUCUGGCAAGUGCACGAGCCUCAGAUCGAACUGCCAUGUCCUUUGUUCCUCUCUGACUGCCACUUACAUUACUCAAUUGCCUCGGUGGUCUACCUCGUACUGGCACUUUACUCGGUCUGGUAUUCUGCACAGUGUUUUGCUCAGCUACCAUCGGACACUCUCGAAUGAAAUGAUCCUUUGAACCGCACUUAAAGCAAGACCGAUCAUGUAAUCUGCAAUCUCCAGGAUGCCAUUUCCCACAAUACUUGUACUCUGAUCUAUUUUGUCGAACACUACCAACGCUAGCAACUGAAGUAGCUCGUGAACUCACAGGGGGUCGAUCUCGAUCAUACUUAGGAAACCCUGCAGUAGCUUUAGAUCGGCUAUGAUCCUCUCUGGAUUUCAUUGAGGUCGACUGGAAUGAUUUACUGAAUAAUCUUUUACGAGAAUCUCGAGCUUCAUAGCCAGCUUUCCUCUUCUCUUUCCCGAGCUCCUCAACUUUACAAGGUCGUUCAACAAGUACUACGAACUCUUUUAUCUCAAGUAUACCAAAUAACAGUUUAAUAUCUUCAUCCAGCCCAUCUUCAAAUCUUUUACACAUGAUAGCUUCAGUCGAAAUACAUUCUCGAGCAUAUCUACUGAGUCUCACAAAUUUCCGCUCAUAUUCUAUCACUGUCAUACGACCCUGUUUCAAUUUAAGAAAUUACUUACGCUUCUGAUCAAUGAAUCUUUGGCUGAUGUAUUUCUUACAGAACUCAAUCUGAAAGAAUUCCCAGGUCACUCGCUCUUUCGGAACCACCGAUACUAGUGUAUUCCACCAGUGAUAUGCAGUGUCCCGUGGCAAAGAUAUGGCACAUUUCAAGUACUCAUCAGGGGUGCAAGAUAACUCAUCAAACACUCGAAUAGUAUUAUCAAGCCAGAAUUCAUCUCGCUCAGCAUCAUCAUCAUCAGUAGCUCUGAACUCUUCGACCCCGUGUUUUUGAAUUUUGUCAAUAGGAGGCUUAAGUAAUCUCAUCGGAUCACUUACUUGAGGUAUAACAGGAAUCGAAGGUGGAUUAGUCGGGGGUGGAGUUUGUUGUGCAACCGGAUUAGUUCGGACAUAUUGAGUAAACCAGUCAUUCAUCAUUUGGUAGAAGGCUUGUUUAGCCUCUCCCUCCUGGUUACUCGAGGUCGGUCGAGAAUCUACCGGCUCUGUCCCUUGUGUGGGAGCAGGCGCUAUACCCUCAACAUCAUCGACUACGGCUCGAUCGGGAUCCAUUACUAUACGAAAACACAUUUUUAGACAUCAGCAGUCAUCACACUAUCUUGGUAUAAAAAUAUGGCAUGUAUAGCUAGACUCAUACAUGCUACAUUAGUCCAAGAAUCGAUUAAACCGUAGCUCUGAUACCAAUAAAAUGUAACACCCCUAACCCGUAUCCGUCGCCGAAUUAGGGUUACGAGGCAUUACUGAACAAAUACAACCAUUUUUAAAACCAACUGAUCACAAACAUGAAAAUUAAAUCAUUUUCACAUAGCUAUUUAUAAUUUACAAUCAACAUCUAACCAACAUCGUACUCAAACCUAUACAUGCCAUAAGAUCAAGUUCAAAUAUUUAACAAAAUACCAAAAGGGGUCAAAAGUGUGAUAGACUAUGCUGAUGAUCCCCGAGCUCGUAACGCGUCUCCAAAAUCUAUAAAAACAAAUGGACAAAAACAAUCAAAGUAAGCUUUUAUAGCUUAGUAAGUCUAUAGCAUAUCUAAAAUACAUAUAAAAGAAUCAUAUAAUUCUUAAAAUAAAUUUAUUGAAAUCACAAUUAUCAAUUAUAAUUACUAAUCGAACAUUGCUAUAUUAAGUCAUCUUGUUUAAAUCUAAAAGGAUGUGUAUUUAUCUAAUACACAUGAACGGACAAAUGUAUAUACAUUAUAUGCAUAUAAUCAAUUUACUAACAUAAUCAUUAAUUGCAUAUACGGAUUUCUAUAGUACUUAUUGUUCGCACUUCAUCGGAUCCAUUUAAAUAUAAUUGUUCAAAUACAUAUACCAAAAGCAUAAUAAUUUUAUACUUGAUCAACUAUAAGUGCCGAAUGCACAUAUACACCUAUACCCACCUAUGCCGAAUGCAUACAUAUAUACACAUAUAUAUAUAUCCAACAAUUUCAUGACAACCGAUAUAUAUAUACAUACUCACUAUUCACAAGGACUCGAACGAUUAUAUACUCAUCAACCACCUUAAAACAAUGUUCAUAAACUUAUCCAUUUCAUAUAAACAAAAGCAUAUAUAUUUAUACCCAAUGCAUAGAAUCACUUAAUUUAAACAGAUUCACUGGCACUUCACCUGAUAGGCUUAUAGUUUAAUUCAGUUCACCGGCACUUAGCCUACUAGGCUUGUAGCCUGAUUCAGUUCACCGGCACUUAGCCUGCUAGACGUAUAGUCCGAUUCAAUUCACCGGCAUUUAGCCUGCUAGACGUAUAGUCCGAUUCAAUUUACCGGCACUUAGCCUGCUAGAUGUAUAGUCUGAAUAAUUUUACUGGUAAUAAAUCCGAUAGUCAUUUCUCCGUUGAAAUUGAAUUAUAUUCAAUUCUGCGUAACAAACAUGCACUUAAAACAUACUUGCAUAAUUCACAACAAUAAUUUCAGUCCAAAGAGCUGUAAUUCAUAUUCGAACUAUAUAUAUAUAAAUCCAUACAUAAAAAUUCAGCUCAAAAUUUAUAACCUAUAUCUUUGAACCACAUAGGUACAUGAAAUUCAAACAACAAAAUCCAGCUCAAUAACUUCAUGAUUCAACCUAACAAAUUUAUGUAUAUAACUUUUUAUCUAAUUUCAAUACAAUAACUUAUACAUGUACGUAUAUACAUAUUUGAAUCUAACAUAUACAUAUAUAAUUUCAUACUUAAAUAUAUUCAAGACUUAUUCAUGAGUAUACAUAUAUAUUACAACUCACAUGUACAUAUAUAUACACAUUCAUACCUUUAACCAAGUCCAAGGCUUUAUACAUGUAUAUGCUUAUAUAUAUAUAUAUUCGGACCUUAUGUUUACAUAUAUAUUAUAUAUAAAUACCUUUGAUUAAAAACAAGUAUUUAUACAUAUAUAUAUUUUCGAACAUGAUACAUACAUAUAUUUAUAUCAUUCAUACUUAAACAAAAUUCAAUCCAUAUACUUUCAAUUUCAGCUCACCAAAUUACUAUAGAUAUACAUGCAUAUAUACUGAUUUAAUAACCUCAAAUUGCUAAUAGACUUACCUCGGAUAUCAGCGGACACGAUCGACUAUUCGAUUACUUUCGUUUUUCCCCGAUCCAAAUUCGUUUUCUUCGUUUUUUUAUCUUAAUUAGACCUAGAGAUAGCCGAACCUUGUUGUUCUCUUUUCUUUUCUUUUCUUUUUCUUUUCUAUAUUCGGCCAAGAUGAAGAACAUGGCAUUUAAAAUUUGUUAUAUUAAACAUAUAUUAGCCUUAUUUUUAAUUUACUAUAUUAACCUUUACAUAUAUAUAACAUAUAUAAUAAGGUUACAUUAGUCCUUUGCCACCCACUAACUUACAUAGUGGACUAAUUGCAUAGUAAAACCUCUAAAUUAUAAAGACAACAACAAUUAGGUGCUUUUAUAAUUAACCCCUAAAUUUUCAUUUUACGCGAUUAAGCCCUUUUAUUAAAUCGGACACUUAAACAACGAAAUUAAAACACGAAAAUUUCACACAAUCAAAUGCAUACAAAAUAAUAUUAAUAAUAUUUUUCUAAUUCAAAUUUGUGGUCCCGAAACCAGUAUUCUGAUUAGGGUCAAAAACUGGGUUGUUACAACUCUCCCCCCUUAGGGAUUUUCGUCCCCGAAAAUCUUACCGGUGAAUAGGUUUGGAUAACGCUCUUUCAUUGUAUCUUCUGACUCCCAAGUUGCUUCUUCAACCCCAUGUUUAUGCCACAACACUUUAACUAACGGAAUUUUCUUAUUUCGUAAUUCUUUGAUCUCACGAGCCAGAAUGCUAAUCGGUUCUUCCUCAUAUGUCAUAUCAGAGUUAAUUUCAAUCUCCGUCGGACUAAUCACAUGUGAAGGAUCAGAUCGGUAUCCACAGAGCAUUGAAACAUGGAAUACGUUAUGAAUCUUUUCUAACUCAGGCAGUAACAUCAAUCUAUAACCAACCGAUCCAACUCGCUCUAUAAUCUCAUACGGUCCAAUGAAUCUCGGACUCAAUUUGCCUUUACGACCAAAUCUGAGUAUUUUCUUCCACGGUGAGACUUUUAAAAACACUUUAUCCCCGAUCUGAAAUUCUAUAUCCUUUCUUUUCAAAUCCGCAUAAGAUUUCUGACGAUCCGGUGCUGAUUUCAGACUGUCCCGAAUCACUUUCACUUUCUGUUCGGUCUCUUUAAUCAAAUCAACCCCGUGUAUCUUAUUUUCACUGAGCUCAGUCCAAUACAGUGGUGUACGACAUUUACGACCGUACAAAGCCUCAUAAGGUGCCAUUUUGAUACUAGAUUGAAAGCUAUUAUUAUAAGCAAAUUCAAUCAAAGGUAAGUAUCGUUCCCACGUACCUUCAAACUCGAGAAUGCAACAUCUCAACAUAUCCUCAAGUAUCUGAAUGAUUCGUUCAGAUUGACCAUCUGUCUGCGGAUGGAAAGCUGUGCUAAAAUGUAGUUUCGUACCUAAAGCUGUGCUAAAAUGCACACAAAAUAAACACACAAAAUAAUAUUAAUAAUAUUUUUCUAAUUCGGAUUUGUGGUCCCGAAACCACUAUUCCGAUUAGGGUCAAAAACCGGGUUGUUACAAUUCUGCUUCUUCUGCAUCAUCAUCUUUGGUAGCUCGAAAUUCUUCAGCCCCUUACUUCCUAAUCUUAUCAACAGGUGGUCUCUCACUGAUGACUAUACCUGCAGCUAGGGAAACUACAUGAGGAACCUGUGAAUCCUGAAGGGGUGGAGGUCUUACACCCGGAUUCAUACGAACGAACUCGGCAAACCAAUCAUUCAUGGCUUGGAAGAAGGCUUCUCUAGCUCCUCCUCCCUGUCUAACUGAUGCAGGUCUUUCACUAACGUUAACAUCUAGUGGCACCGUCCUUUCUGCGGAAGUAGGCGCAUUACUCUCUACUUCAUCUGCACCAGCUCGUUCAGGAUCCGUAACUAUAAAAUAAAAUAUUUUAAAAUCGUCAAGAGUCGUCACACUAUCAAAAUAUAUAAGUAUGGCAUGUAUAGGUAGACUUUUAUUCAUACUGCAUAUUUCUGAGAACCGAUUAAACCUGCUCUGAUACCAACAAAUGUAACACCCCUUACCCAAGACCAUUUUCGGAGUCGAGCACGAGGCAUUACUUAUCUUAUCUUACUAACUCGAAGCAUAAAAACUUAUUUUAAAAAUUAAUUUCACUAUUUACAGCAAUCUGUCCAAUCGAGCAGCAGUUACUAAAUUAAUAAUAACUCGAGCUACGGAACUUGAAAUUUAACUUCGUAAAUUUUCACUGAAACUAGACUCAUAUAUCUUCCUACCAUAAAGUUUUUAGGAUUUUUUGUUUAGCCAACUAGUACAGUUUAUUAGUCAAAUUCUCCCCUGUUUCACCAAUCGAUUGCCUUGACCUCUUAUCACUAAAAAUAAAAUUUCUCAAUGUGGGAUUUUCGUAUAGUGCUACUGCUUGCUUCUACAAAAAAUAGACUCAAUAAGGAAUCUAUAAAUAUAAACUACAGCUCCUAAAUAUUUUUUUAAAAAUUUUAAUGAUUUUCUAAACUCAAAAUAGGGGUCACCAAAAACUGUUCUAACCCUGUCUCACCAAAAUUCACAUAUCUUAAAAUAUAAAAUUCAUUUUGCUACACCGUUAUUUUUAUCUGAAAAUAGACUCAACAAGAUUUAAAUUCAUAUAUCAUUCACUCUUUAAUUCAUUUUAUACUAUCCUAGGUGAUAUUUCAAAGUCACGUCGUUGUUGCUGCCUGAAUUCUGUUUCUUUGCAAAAUUGUACCAUUUUAUGAUUUCCAUGCAUAGUUUAUCACUUACACUCUUAUAACAACAAACACUUCCAUACUUCACCAUUUUAGCAACCAUUCAUCAUCAACUACUUACAUAUCAUUCUUUAUCAAGAUCAUAAAUACAAACAUUUAAAAUAACUAAAUCCCUAUACAUUCCAUACUCAACAUGGUUCAACAUAAAAAUACCGAGUUGCUGUGGCUGAUAGUGUGGACGAUCUCCGACUUCUUUAGGAUCCUUGAAGUAACCUUGCAAUACUAUAAGAGAAAGAGAAAUAAAAGACGUAAGCAUAAAGCUUAGUAAGUUUACUAGCAAAUAAAUAACAAUAUUUAACUCAGAUAAUUAAACUCAAGUGUCUAUAUCUCUAGUUUACUCUUUAGUUAAUCCCAUUCUAGUUCUCUUGCUUGUUUACUUAGUAUACUUGUGUGCAUAACUUAAUCUUCUCUUGCUGUAUCGUUGAAUAUCAAUUGAUAAUAUAAUAAGUUCUUAACUCUUAUAACUUACCUGAACUUGCCAUUUAUGUUUUUAACUGAACUUUCCUGAACAUGAUUCGUUAUUUAGCCCGUUGAGCUACAUUGGAACAAUAAGGAUACUCGGGUCUCUUCUGAUAAUAACAUGCCAAAGCCAUGUCCCAGACAUGGUCUUACAUGGGAUGUACUCAUGUCGGUGCCCAUUCCAUGUCCCAGACAUGGUCUUACGGGGGACCUCUCAUCUCGGUGCCAAUGUCAUGUCUCAGACAUGGUCUUACAUGGGACCUCUCAUCUCGGUGCCAACACCAUGUCCCAGACAUUGUCUUACAUGGGACCUCUCAUUUCGGUGCCAACGCCAUGUCCCAGACAUGGUCUUACAUGGGACCUCUUUAUCCAAAUGUCAUGACAUUCGUAUCCAGUAUUAUCCUUAUGUAUCAACGGGACUUUUUAAUUUUAAUUCUCUAUCAUUUCAUGCUUGGAUAAUCAUCAAAUAAAUUCAUGAAAUAAAUUCAUAGUUGCUGGAAAAUAGCAGCAUUAAUAAAAAUUAUUGAAAUAUUUCAUUUAUUUACCGUAAACUUACCUUGGUACCGAAUAUAGCCCAAUUCACCAACUUAGUCUUCAACUUUAUUCUUUCCUUUGUCUAACCUCGAGUUUCAUUCUUCUUGAUCUAAAAUAGAAAAUUUAACUUAUUUAAUACUCACAUUCAUCAAAACAGCCCUCGACUCUAACUUUUCAAAAUUAUGAUUUUGCCCCUAAACUUUUACAUAAUUACAUUUUUCCCCAAGGCUCGAAAAUUCAACUUCAUCUCAUAUUCUUAUGUUUUAUGGCAUGCUGAAUAUUUUUCUCUUCUAUGACAAUAUCAAAUUCUCACUCUAACACUUACUUAUGUACAUUAGAGAUUUUUACCGAUUAUGUCAACUUACUCGUUUUUGCUUAAAAUCGGCUAACAAAAGUUGUUUAACAUAAUUUAUAGCUUCAUAUUCUAUCAUAAAACAUCAAAAUAAACACUUUUCACCUAUGGGUAUUUUUCCAAAUAUAAACCCUAGGUUAAAUUAUUGCUAGAAUAAGCUAAAUUAAGUUACCGGGACUCCAAAAACGUAAGGAACAUUAAAAACGGGGCUUGGGAUCACUUACUAUGGAGCUUGGAAGCUUGAAAACCCUAAAUAUGGCUUACCCCCUUGCUGAUUUCGUCCAAAUGAAGAAGAUGAGCAUAAUUUGUCAUCUUUUUCCCUUUUAAUUCAUUUUAAUUACUAGAUUACCAAAUUGCCCCUAACUUAAAAAUUUCCUAUUUCACUUAUCUCAUGUCCAUUUUUGUCUAAAAACUUAACCAAUGGUCUAAUUACCAUAUAAAGACCUCCAAUUUAAAGUUUCAUAACAAUUGGACACCUCUAACAUGUAGAACUCAACUUUUGCACUUUUUGCAAUUUAGUACUUUUGACUAAAUUGAGUGCCCAAACUUCAAAAUUUUCGAAUAAAAUUUUCAUGAAAUCAUUUUGUGAAAUCAUAGACCAUAAAAAUAUAAGAAAAAUAAAAUUUUCCUCAUCGGAUUUGUGAUCCCGAAACCACUGUUCCGAUAAUCUUAAAUUUGGGCCAUUACAUGAUCACCUUUUUACUAGCUCAUACAUCUCCUACAUCAGACCUUACAUGCAUGCUUACCAAACUUUAUUCUUUUUAACAAAACUUUAUACAUAUCAUCGUAGCACAUCUUUCAUCUUUACUAAACUCAUAUUUUUACCAAUUUCUGUAGACAUCAUCAUCAUCAUCCUAUAUAUAUGCUUCUUGUUUGAACAGUUCAUAUCAAAGAGUCAAGAUAGAGACCCACUUGACACUCACCUACUGCAGUUCAAAGCUCUAAACUUAACCAUCCUUCUCAAACCAGCAGUAAAAACUGCUUAUAGAACAUAGAAUCACCAUUAAAAACCCAUUUACAUACAAAUUACUAUCAUCUUAAUCACUUUUCCACUGUUAAUUUAUAAAUAAGUGUUAAGUAGUAAAUAAAUAAAAAAAUUAACUAAGUUUUCAAAAAAAAAGUCACUGUGACGAGAAGAAUGUUAAAAUUAAUUGGUGUUUGUUAACUCAUAUGUUUUUCUAAAAAUGGGUUAAGUUUUCUUCUGAAAUAAACAAAUGUUUUAAAAUGAUUGUUUUAUAAACUCCGAUCGUACUAUCCCAUCUUGGUGGCUGAUGUAAUAUCCCAAAUUCAGGUCUAACAUCUAAGUCGGGUUGGAUAGGUUACAAUAUAUAUAGAAAGAUUGAUAAAUAAUGCAAACUUGAAUACAAGCAAAGAAAGAAAUCAAUCAAUGUGAAUGACUAACAAGUUUAAAAUCAUAUAUUUGCAUUAUAUUUUGUAAAGCACAAGAUUGUCAUGGAAUUAGACAAUUUGUUUUGAUAAUGGUUAUAUUUUAUAUAGAUUUACUUUUAUGCACUUUCAUAUUGAGUUGAUCAAAAGUUUUGAAACUUUAUAGAAAAUUUGAAUGAAAGAGCAUAUUGAUAUAUAUGCUAUCUUGAGUGUUGAAUUAAGCAUUCUUUAGUAAAAGAGUGUACAUUUCGCACAUGGUAGGUGUGUUGGUUUCUUAUAUAUUAAUUAAGCACAAAUUAAAGAAAAAUAAUAUAUAUCACCAUAGUGUUGUAAUAUUUUGUAUAAUUUGUGAAAUUAUACAAGCAAAUAAGUUUACCUAUCUUGUUAAAUAAAACUCAUUAAGUUGGUUCUUAAUCUUGAAGAAUUAAAUAGGUUGGCUUCUUUAUUCAUUUUAUCCAACUACAAGUUAGAUUAAAGUUGUGGAAAUAGAAUGGUUGAAAAUUUGUGUUAAUGAGAAUUAGAGUUAUGGCCACAACUGAUGCCAACUAUUUCCUAAAAACAGGGAAUGAUGUCCAAAAACAUGCUGUAAAAUAAAAAUUUGGACAUGUUAGAAUAUGAAUUUAUUAUAUUAUAGUUUCAAUGUAAUACCCUUAUCCCAUCUCUGUUGCCGGAUUAGGAUUUCAGAGUAUUACUGAGAAAAAUAGAACAUUUAACUUUCCAACAGAAACAAUUGUACAAUUAAAUACCAACAUAUAACAAUUGAAUCUAAUCAUGGCAAAUAUUACACUUUUGGACCUUGAAUCGAGCCUAUGGGGCCCUAGAAACAGUUUAGGAACAAUCUGGGAUCAAAUCAAAACAAAUCAGAACAUUUUGAAAAAACAUAAAAAUUUAGGAAUACAGAGGUCACAGGCCAUAUGGCCAAGUCGUGUGACAUAGCCUAGAUUGUGUAAACAUCCGAAGUCAGGACACAUAGCUGUGUCCCAGCCUGUGUGUCUACUCAUGUGUAUAUUUGAAAUAGGGUCACACAGUCGUGUUGCAGACUGCCAAACGUGUGUGUAUUCAAAGUGAGGUCGCAAGACCAUGUGGCCGACCGUGCCACAAACUGUUUUGAGACACAAGGUCAUGUCUCAGACCGUGUAAAACAUGCACUUAAAAUAAUAAAUACACACGACCGUAUCUAGUGACUAUGUGUGGCACAUGGUCGUGUGGUAGCUUGUGUCUCAGGUCGUGUGCUCCAUUUUUAACCCCUAAAUCAAGCCAAUCAAGCAUCAUUUCUUAUACAACAAGACAUACCAUAUCUAACUAAUUUUACAUGGUUAAAAACACAUUCAAAUCAACAAAUACAUGCCAAAAUUUCGUUCAUCCUAUGUCUAACCAAUAUGCCAUCAAAAGGCACCUCAAUCCAUACAUCCAUUCAACUCAAGAACAAAGUUACAAUAAAUGAACAAGUUUUAUCAUUAGUUAACCAUUCAUGCCUAAAACCACUAAUCUAAUUGACCAAAAUAUGGGCAUACUCAACAAGCAACCAUUUCAAAACAUCAUCAUCAAAUCUUUAUAUACCAUUUAUGAUCAACUUAAUUAUAUUCAACACAAGUACACAUCCAAAAUCAAGCACAUCACUAAGUAUGCCAAAAUAACUUAACUAUUUACAUAUCAACAAUAAGACACCAUAUCCCAAAAUGAAAUAAAAAAGCUACCAAGAUGGUUGGAUAGUGUGUGCUCCAAAACAAUUCAUCCGGUUAGUCCACAAAACGCCAAAUCAACCAAUAUAGAUAAACAAAAAGGUAAGUUCUAAUUCUUGAUAUUCAAAUGCAAGAUCACACCACAUUAGUAUAUAUUUAUUUACAUCAUAAAUGAUACCUUCCAAAAUUCAUAACCAAUUCAUCAUCCACAAUUUCUCAAUACAACCAUUAAUAUUUAUAAACAAGAACUUCAUAGUAACAUUUAUCAUUUAGUAGUAAUAUAAUUAUCCAACAAAAUUGAACAAAUAAAUGCGUUUUAAGUCAUUUGAUACAUAGCCUGCUGAACUAUAGUAACUUGACUCGGAUACUCAUGAUACUACAUCACACCAAAGGUAUCAAUGAUGCAUAACAGAGGCACCGAAGUGCAGACAAAUGCAUGAAUGUGCAAUCAGAGGCACCGAAGUGAAAACAGAUGCACCAAAGUACAAACCCGUACGAGUGCGCAUUAAAACCCUAUUGGCAUGCUAAUCGUAUCCUAAUUGUUUACUACGUUCAACUGGGCAUUAUACUUAAAAUCAUAAUAUCAAUAAAUCCAUCAUUUAGAGGCACUUCUUAUUUCCGUACACAUACUAUAAAUAUGUAACUUUCAUUUCAAUAAUAUGCAAUAACAAUAAUUACCAUCAUCAAACAUUCAUUUUCUAUUUGUACUUAAUUGCAAAAUUUAAUAAUAUAUAAGUAACUCAUGAAAUUUCACAUAUAUACCAUUAACUAGAAAACAAUAAUAUAAUCAUAAAGUGACACACAUAUACAUAUUAUUACACUAUGAACUUACCUAAAAUCUACUUUCGAUUAAUACACAGGGACUACUCCGCUAUUUUUUCCCUUUUCUCGGUUAUUGUCUUUUUGACUCGGUUCUUGAUCUAUAUAGUAAUUAAAUUCAAUUUAUGAAAUUCACAUACAUUUAAAACUCAAUUCAAUGCAUGAUACCCUUAUGUUUUCAUUAUUUUCACAUUUUUCUUAAACUUUUACAUUUCUCACAAUUUAGUCCCUACAAAAUUUAACAAAAUUUUACAAUUUUCCAUGUUAGUUGAACUUCUUUCGAAACUAGUACAAUCCCUAAUUAUUCACAAUUCACAAAAUUUCUAUGCAAAUUUUAAUAAUUCACACAUUGAUCAUUAAACUCAAAAUUAACACAAAUUUUUUUACAAAAAUAUCCUAAUCAACAUUCAAAUAUGUACAACUACCAUUAAAAAUCAUGAACACCAAAAUUCCAUUACUAACCAAUCCCUAAAACUUUAACAUUUUUAUAAUUCCAUCCUCGGGUUUAAUAGUUUAAGUUACAACGAGUUCAAAAACGUAAAAAUUAUUAAAAACAGGUAAGAGAAACACUUACAUGCACCAAUUUGCUAACCGAAACUUCAAGCUCCAAAAAUGGAGUUUUUUUUUUCUUUUUCGGUGGGAGAGAGUUGAGAAGAUGAUGAUACCAUUUUUUUCUUUUGUUUCUUUUCUUUAAUCAAACUAAUUACUAAAUUAUCCUUUUAAUCUAAACUAAAUUAUUAACAUAGCAUGUCCGUAAUUAUCCAUUAACUAACCAUAAGGUUUAUCUAUCAACCAAGUCCAUUACUUUAGUUUUUCUUUAAAAAUCAAGCACAUUUAACAAAUAGAAGCCACUUUAGCAUCUUUUACAAUUUAGACCUUUUUACUAAAUUAACUAAACAGACAUUAAAAUUUCUUAGCCAAAUUUUAUUAUGACUCCAAUAUAACUCUAUAAGCAUAAAAUAAACAUAAAAUACUAACUCAUUUGUCGAAAUUGUGGUCCUGAAACCACCUUUUUUGAUACCACUGAAAAAUGAGAUAUUACAUUAAAUCUCUAAUUUAUGAUAAUGAAUGUGAGAGAAUAAUUUUCUUUGUUUAGAAAUACUAAUCAUUUUCUUUGUUUAGUAAUACUACAACUAGAAUGUGUUUCGACCCUAUUAUUAGAAACUAAUAAUGGAAACCCAACUUUUAAUUAGAAACCUCUAAUUUUAAAGUUUAAUAGGUAACACCCCGAAUUUUGGCCCUAGAAGAAAUAUGUUUUGAACAAGGGAACAGUUAGGAGACUGCACAUAAAUAUUUAGUUGUGCAAGGAAGUGACAUAAAUGAAUGUCUACUUCAGUGGUUGAGUGAUUUAGGAGUGUUUGGAACUGUCUGAGAAGUCAGGGAUUCAAGCAUUGCUUAUGCAAAAUUUUUAUUUUAAGUGAAUAAAAUCAUUGGAUCUAGAUAGUAAGUUCUUAAAUUAUUGUGGUUAAAAUAUGAUGCAAAAGAGUUGUUGGUCUAGUGGUAAGGGGUGUGUGGAGUGCACAUAGGGCCUAAGGUUCGAGUGGUGGCGCAUCAGAAAGGAAAUAUUUAUUUUGCUACUUGAGCUGUUUAGGUAGUGGAGUUGGACUGAAACACAACUAAGGGGAGUUUGCAUAGAAUUUGAAUGGAGUUGUUGGGGGAGUUGAGGAGAAACCGGUAGAAUAAUUUAAGGAGGGAUAAGGGGAGAGAUUUUAGGAGAAAAUCAAGGGAAGUGAGGGGAGUGAAGAAGUGUGCCGAAAGUGGACUUUGAUACUCAGGAAAUUUGGCCAGAAGGGAUACUGCUCAUUUUGGUAUACUUUUCAUUUCGGUUUUGUGUAGUGUUUCUCUCUCUUUUUGCUUUUUGGUGCCGAAUUUUUGCUAAGAUUUCGAGUACCACUCGGGUUUUUCUUUUGCUGCUUUUUUCUUUUAUCAUUUCUUUUGUUUUGGCCGAAUUUCUUUUUAGUUCCCUCCUUUGUCGAAUUCUUUUCUCUCUUCUCUUUGUUGCUUCUUUUCAUUUCUCUAUUUUUCCAAACCUUGACCGAACAGUGUUGAAGUAGUUCUGUGUUCCAUCUUUUGUCUAAAAUGCUCUUCUUCCUCUACUCCUUUUGAUCAACUAUUUGUCGAAUAUUGCCUUCUCUCCCCUUUUAUCUCUUUAAAUUUAUUUUCGGCUUGACAACAAUUCUCUAACAGUUCAAAUUUCUUGAGGAGUGAAAAAGUAUCGCAUAAUAUUAAAGUCAUCGAAACCUUUCUCUCAUCACUCGAUCAAAGGUAAGUAUGUAGGCUAGCAUUCUAAAGUGUAGGCUGAGUGCUUUCUAUGGUUUCAUAAGUUAUUAUGUUUGGAUUUAAACCACAUGAAUAAACAAUCCUAUUUAAUAAAAUCCGUUUGUAAUGCAGAUAUCCAUCAAAGAGAUUGUAGUCAACCUUCGUCAGUGAUAUAAGUAGGCUAAGUCACAUUUGACAAUCGAGGCUUUGGUGCUCGUGGAUCUUAGAGUGUUUUCACAAUCAGGUGUGUAAACACCCCACUGUAACCGUAGAACGACAAAAAGCUAAAAGGCCAAAAAUACGGUGUUUGAGACCACACAGGCGUGCGAUCUCUCAUGUGGUAAGCCCAACCCACAAAUCAUGGCCGAUAGACUGUAGAGGCCUCCAUGAACAUUUCCAUGGGCUUAGGCCGUAAUGGGCCACGUUGGGCCGAAAUGGGUCGUGUGGGUUCAAUAGGCUCGUGGGCACCAUACAGAUGAGAACCACGAUUUGUGAAAAAUACUGGACUGGGCUAUGAAGAUCUCAUAGCCGUGGAAAAAUCUGGGCUGAACAGGCCGCACAAGCGUGCGGGCCUACUUGGGCCGAGUAAUGGGCCUUAGGCCCAUUUGUACCAUUAUGACCAUUUAGGUUACCUGAGUCGCUCGAGGUAACUACGGACCUUUCGAGAGGUCGAUAUCUGCACCAAGACCCAAAAUAGGUAAAAUGAUCGAAAUACCCCUAUAGAGUAAAAUGACCGAAAUACCCCCAAAGGAUAAAAUGAUUGAAAUACCCCUAUAAGGUAAAACGAUCGAAAUACCCCCGUAGGAUAAAAUAACUAUUAUACCCCUAGAAGAUGAAAUGACUGUUAUGGCCUUAUGCUAUGUAUGACUGUUUUGCUCUAUGAUAUGUAUGACUAUGGUUGAGCAUGACAUUUUUCAUACACGUAUGAUAUUAUGUCAUGAUAUAUUGCAUGGGGAUGGAUUGUUAUAUUUGGAGGAAGUGUACUGUACUGACAAGGUUGCACGGGUCGCCCAAGACGACUGUGGACCUACUGAUGGCUAUAUGCCAUUUAUUUUACUGGCAGCUUUGCUGCAAUACUGUUUAAUGCUGCAACUGGUGCUAAUCUUGGUGUGUUUGGAUGGAUGGGUAGAUUUUAUCCCCCAUAUGGUGUGUUUGGCGGAACUGUAACACCCUUAACCUGAAUCCAUUCUGACAUUGUCUCACAAAAUUUAUUAUAUCUCAUAGUUUACAAUUUUAUUACUUACACCAUUUCUUCCAUGAGAAACUAGACUCAAUAAGUUUUAAUUCUAUAUUUUAUUCAUACUCUAAUUCGAUUUUCAUAAUUUAUGGUGAUUUUUCAAAGUGAGCCUACUGUUGUUGUCCAAAACUAUUUUAGUACAAGAUGUUUAUUACCAUGUUUAUAACACCCUUAUUUUCUUUCUCUACACUAUUUCUCAUCCCUUUCUCUUAUUUUCUCUUCACUUACAUAUUAAGAACAUAGGACCAUAUAUACAAAAAAACUUUACACUAACAUCAUUUCCAUACUUUUUCAAUAAUAUCAAACUUAAAAAUAUACUAAAAUCUUGAUGUACUUACCUUGUCAUAUUGAUUUUAAUCUUUAACUUGAUUUUCUCUCUCCUCCAGCUUCUAUUUCUUGAAUCUAACUUGAUAUUAUAGCUCCCCAUAGUCUCCUUGUAAUCUUUCUCUCUUGAUGGAUAUGGAAAUUCUUUUGAUUUCUAGAUGAAAAUAGUGAAUUUUUGGUGAAAGGACUAAAUUGUAAAGAAAGCAAAACUUUCUUUCUUCUCUUCUCCUCUUAACGUGAAUUGCAUGGAAAAGAUGGUGGGUUGGUUCCUUUUCAUCUUUCUUUCCACAUAUAUAUACUAAAUAAUAAAAUAAUAAAAUAUCAUUUAAAAAUCAAAUUAAAAUACUAAUAAACUAAUAUUUAUUUGUUUAUUUAAUCUAAAAUAUCUCCAACAUCAUCAUUAUCUUCUAGAUUUCUCUCUCUUCUAAUUGACCAUUUUGCCCUUCAUGAUAUUUUAAAAUUCCAUCCUUGAGUCAUCACUUAAUUUCGUAAAAUUUCAAUUUAGUCCCUCAAAAUUCCUCACCUUUUUUCAAUUUAGUCCUAAUACAUCCAUUUUCCUUAGUUUCUAGAUCAUUCCACCCUUAAAAUAUUUACACCAUUGGUCCUUCAAUUUUUUCAUAUUUACACUUUAACCCCUCAAUUUUUGAGUAUUUACUCUUGGGCAACAAAAUUUUUACGAUUUAAUCCUUUCUUGAGGUAAUAUGUCAUAAUAUACUUCCCAAUGUUGACAUAACUCCAAAAUUCCCUUUUUUGUCGCUUUAUUUCCUUAUUUUUUUAUAUCAAAGAUAAUAUCUUACUGUAAAAAUUUUUUUGGGGGGUAUUACAUUUCUCUCCCCCUCAAAAUAAAUUUCGUCCUCGAAAUUUCCUUAUUUUCUUUUGAUCAUGAACUUAUUUUUUCUUUAAUUCUAUAGUUCAUUUUUUUUGCAUAUAUUUACUUAGCUUAUCAUUUGUGUCUAUUCUUUAUUCUUUCAUUUCACAAUUUAUUUUUAAUUUAAUAUUUCAAACAUGAAUCAGAGAUAAACUUUUACCUUGUAACUAAAAUUAUUUACCUUUUUACCUGAGGCCCAGUGGACUAAAUAGAACACGUAGGAUAUAUGAAAUUGAUACAGAAGUGCUCUGUUAUACAUCAUUAAACAGAGAGCACUAAAGUGUUAUACGGGAGCAUAAAUGUGCUAAUAAUUGGAGAGCACUAGCGUGCUAUUAAUCAGAGAGUGCGCUAAGGUUCCUUAAUGAUAUACUACUAAUAUCCUAAUAGUUCUAAUCUCAUCUACUUGGGCAAAUUAUAUCAUGCAUGCAUACGACUUUUACACUUUGCGCAUAAUGCUUUUACAUACUUUACAAUUUAAACCUUGUACCAAUGAUUCGUAUAUUUAUACCUUCUCUACCUUUAAUACAUGUAAUAUAUUUCAAAAUUCACUAAUAAUCCAUAUAUAUCAUGUACUUCAUAUAUCAUUUUUACAUAUUAUGCAAUUUAGUCAUCAGCGCAAUAUUUCUUGUAGCAAUAUGUUUUUCUUUUAAUGACACAUAUAACAUUCAUCAUCGACAUGUAUUAUAAAACAUUUAUUCAUACUUUCAUGAGUUCCAAUUCAUCCUAAUCAAUUUUUUUUACUCAUAUACUUGAGUAUCACUUUCAACAUUAUCAGAAUUAGCUCGGUUAGGAAAACAUCUCUGUUUAUAAGUAAAACAAUUCUCAUCAGACUCGAGAGAUAUCACACUAUCACAGGUUACAUAAUGGCAUGCAUUUCUAGACUUCACAUAAGCUACGUUUGGUCCAAGAACCGACUAAAUCGUAGCUCUGAUACCAAUAAAUGUAACACUCUUAACCCGAAUCCAUUCUGACAUUGUCUCACAAAAUUUAUUAUAUCUCAUAGUUUACAAUUCUAUUACUUACACCAUUUCUUCCAUGAGAAACUAGACUCAAUAAGCUUUAAUUCUAUAUUUUAUUCAUACUCUAAUUCGAUUUUCAUAAUUUAUGGUGAUUUUUCAAAGUGAGCCUACUGUUGCUGUCCAAAACUAUUUUAGUACAAGAUGUUUAUUACCAUGUUUAUAACACCCUUAUUUUCUUUCGCUACACUAUUUCUCAUCCCUUUCUCUUAUUUUCUGUUCACUAACGUAUUAAGAACAUAGGACCAUAUAUACAAAAACUUUACAUUAACAUCAUUUCCAUACUUUUUCAAUAAUAUCAAACUUAAAAAUAUACUAAAAUCUUGAUGUACUUACCUUGUCAUAUUGAUUUCAAUCUUUAACUUGAUUUUCUCUCUCCUCCAGCUUCUAUUUCUUGAAUCUAACUUGAUAUUAUAGCUCCCCAUAGUCUCCUUGUAAUCUUUCUCUCUUGAUGGAUAUGGAAAUUCUUUUGAUUUCUAGAUGAAAAUAGUGAAUUUUUGGUGGAAGGACUAAAUUGUAAAGAAAGCAAAACUUUCUUUCUUUUCUCCUCUUAACGUGAAUUGCAUGGAAAAGAUGGUAGGUUGGUUCCUUUUCAUCUUUCUUUCCACAUAUAUAUACUAAAUAAUAAAAUAAUAAAAUAUCAUUUAAAAAUCAAAUUAAAAUACUAAUAAACUAAUAUUUAUUUAUUUAUUUAAUCUAAAAUAUCUCCAACAUCAUCAUUAUCUUCUAGAUUUCUCUCUCUUCUAAUUGACCAUUUUGCCCUUCAUGAUAUUUUAAAAUUCCAUCCUUGAGUCAUCACUUAAUUUCGUAAAAUUGCAAUUUAGUCCCUCAAAAUUCUUCACCUUUUUUCAAUUUAGUCCUAAUACAUCCAUUUUCCUUAGUUUCUAUAUCAUCCCACCCUUAAAGUAUUUACACCAUUGGUCCUUCAACUUUUUCAUAUUUACACUUUAACCCCUCAAUUUUUGAGUAUUUACUCUUGGGCAACAAAAUUUUUACGAUUUAAUCAUUUCUUGAGGUAAUAUGUCAUAAUAUACUUCCCAAUGUUGACAUAACUCCAAAAUUUCCCUUUUUGUCGCUUUAUUUCCUUAUUUUUUUAUAUCAAAGAUAAUAUCUUAGUGUAAAAAAAAAUUUUUUGGGUAUUACAGGAACAGAGUGGUGUGUAGAGGCUGGAUUGGGUAGGAUUUCUAACUGCAUAUCUACACUAAUUAAUGAUUUUGUAUUGUUACUACAUCGAUUAAUGAUAUUACAUACUGUUUACUGCAUGACUGAUAUUUGUUGCUGUUAUGGGCCAAGGCCCCACUGAUACUAUUACUGAAAUUGGGCAAAUGCCCUAUUGAUUAUUGGUAUUGUGAUGGGCUCAAGCCCAAUCGUUUAAUGUUACGGGAAAGGGCUUAGGCCCACACUGAACUGGACUGUUACUAUAACAGGCUCAGGCCCAAACUGUAUUUAUCUAUUGUUUAAUUGACUACUUACUUGUUAGGGGAUUGCACACUGAGUUUUCGUAAACUCAACCCGUUGUUUAACUGUACAGGUAAUCCCUAGUUGUAGUAGGGUCAGUGCUGCGAGGGACUCGAUGAUGGCCACACAACUGCAUCAGCUUUUGUUUUUAGCCUUUGAUUUAUAAGAAACUGAAUUUGGGUAUUUUUAUGUAAAAAGGCCUCUUUAAAGUUAUAAACUUUAAAUUGGGGUUUUUAUUUAUUUAGUUUGAUAUAAACUACUAGUUGUAGAAAAAGACGGGUUUUCAAAAGGUAAAUGUUUUCAAAGUUUCAAAAGGUAAAUGUUUUCAAAGACACCACGUUUUCGCAACAUUUCUAAAAAAAAACUUCCGCAAUGAAUGAGAUUUUGGAAAAUUUAUAACGUUUUAAAAGUGAUUAGCUUUUAAUGAUGCAUGCUUGGAAAUGAACAACCCGUUUUGGAAUCAUAGUUUAACAGCAAAAUGAUUAAUUGAUUUUAAAGAUUUCAACGACAACAAGUUUUACGCUAAACACCUUAAAGUGACACCGCCAGAUUCAACCAUAACUCCUAGGCCGGGUUUGGGGUGUUACAAUGUGUUUCAACCCUAUUAUUAGAAACUGAUACCCUAUUAUUAGAAACUGAUAAUGGAAACACAACUUUUAAUUAGAAACCUCUAAUUUUAAAAUUCAAUAGGUAAAAGCAAGUUAUCGUUAAGUGCCUGUGAUACGCUAGUAAAACUCAUUCUAGAAAAAAAAGUUUAAUGGAAACAAUUGUUAUCCAUUGCGUAUAGAGGAUGAAUUUGAAUACUAUUAAUUAAGUUCAUUGUUUAUUGUUUAAAUGUCUAAAGUAAGGGAGACAUUAAAAGAACUCUACCUUUAUAAACAUAAGAAGUGGUGCCACUUCAACAAGUAAAGGUAGGGUCUCUCUUGUAAAUGUUUAUUAUGAACAAGAUAAGCACAUGAUCAUUUUAGUGCUAAAAGUGAACAACCUCUGAUAGAAAUAUAAACGAAUAUUAUGUAUAGUGUAUUUCAACUUCUAAUACUAGGAGUUGUGGUUCAAUCUUCGGACACCGACAACUUAUUAAAACUUUGAAAAGCAUCCGCUUAUUGAUGGUUCAUAUUGAGAGGUAUCAUCUUUAAUGCAUAAUAUUUGUUUGAGUGAAUGACCAUAAAGUAUGGUACCAACAUUUAAACUAAGGGUGAUUGUUAGUAGUUUAUAAUUUUGGCAGUAAAAAUAUUUUAUUAUGUAGAAAAGUCUAAUAAAUUAUAAUUAUUGGUCAAAUAGUUGUGUUGUAAAGACAAUUUUUGUAUGUAAAGUUGUCUUAUAAACUUUAUGUAAAGUUGUGUUGUAAAACAACAAAAUUAUAUGAAAAUGUAUCUUAUUAAAAGAUACAUCCAUAUGAAAGGGUAUCUCAUGAAAAGAUACACCUAUUAGAUGUCUAUAUAAAAGAUUUUUCUGUUAGUUAUUUAAAUUGUUUUGCUUGGAGUGUUGAGGGCUUUGUUGUAUCUUGAAGGUAUUUUAAAAUCUUAAAGAAAGUGCUCUACACACCUUAAAGUCAUUAUAUUUUAUAACAUUAUUUUAUUUUUCUAACUUUUAUUUUCCUAUUAUUUAUUUUUCUAACAGCUAGAAUAUAGGAAAAUUAUUAUGUUUCUAGCUAUAUAUUGAAUACAAGUAUGUUGGUGUUUAGAACUCGAACUUUGAUGGUUGAUCGAGAGAUUUGAAGCAGAAAGAAGAGACGGGAAGUUUUAAGUAGAAAAAUAAUUGAAGACUGGAAUAUAUAAUUGAUUUGCACCUCAACUAUUUAAAUACAAAAGUUCAAGCUAAAAAUAGAAAAAAAAAGUUCUAAAAAUCUGCUAAAAAUCUGGUAACAAAAUAGCAAACAAAUCAAAAAUCUAAUCUCCUAAAGUCAAGGAGAAUUAUUCAAACUUAGUAACAGAAAAAAUUUAAAUGGCAGCAAUCUUAAACACAUGAUCUUAACACUCCUCCUUGUUUAGAUGCUACAAACUCCAAGUUUCUUCCUGAAGCUUUCAAACUUGCUAAGUGGCAAUGGUUUGGUGAAGAUAUCUGCAAUUUGAUCUUCAGAUUUGUAGUAACAAAGAGACACAUCACCACUCUUUUAAACUUCUCGAACAAAAAAUAACUUGAUGUUAAAAUGCUUAGUCUUCCCAUGAAAGACUGGAUUGUUAGAGAUUGCAAUGGCAGCCUGGUUAUCAACUAGAAUCUUUGUGCUUUGCUUCUACUCCAUGUUUAGAUCAACAAGAAUCUUCCUUAACCAGAGAGCUUGGUUAACUGUUGCUGUUGCAGCCAUAAAUUCUGCCUCAACAGUGGAUUGAGCUACAGUUUCUUGCUUCUUCGAGCUCCAAGAGAACAUGCCUGAUCCAAGGCAAAAACAAUAACCAGAGGUACUCUUCAUAUCAUCAGUUAAGCCACCCCAAUCACUGUUAGAGAAACCAAUCAACUUCAAUUCCCUAUGCUUUAAAAACUUUACUCCAUAAUUCCAGGUCCCCUUGAUGUAUCUGAUAACUCUUUUUGCAGCUCUCAUGUGAGUCUCAUUGGGACAAUGCAUGAAUCUGGAGAGAAUACUUACAGCAUUCAAGAUGUCGAGUCUGGUUGUUGUUAAGUACAUUAGACAACCUACCAAACUCCUGAACUCAGCUUCAAUGACUUUGGCAGAACCAUCAUCUUUGAUUAGCUUCUCUUUUUGAUUCAUAGGAGUACUCAUUGCUUUGCAAUCUUCCAUAUGGAAUUUUCUAAGUAUCUCCUUUGCAUACUUUCUUUGACAGAUGAACACUUCAUCUUGGCUUUAUUUGAUCUCAAUGCCAAGGAAAUAAGACAUCAGAUCAAGGUCUGUCAUUUCGAAGACAUUAUGCAUUUCCAAUUUAAACUGAUUAACUUGAUCGAUAUUGCUCCUUGUAAUCAAUAAGUACAAAUAAGCAAGCUUUUUCCUUUGAUUUCCUUAUCUUCUUUUCUUUUUGUGCUUUAAUCUGUGCCACAGUAGGAUUUGCUGGAAGAGGUGGGACCUCGUAAUCCUCUUCUACAGGUUCCCAAAGAUCCAAAGCCUCUAUGUAAGUCUCCAUGCGAACUGCCUACAUCUGGUAAUUGUCUCCAUCGAAGACUGGUGGUGCAGCAACUGAAAAACUGGACCCUCCUUCCAUAUUAACACGCAAAUAACCUAACAAAUCCCUCAAGAAAAUAGCUCUGAUACCAAUUUGUUGGUGUUUAGAACUCGAACUUUGAUGGUUGAUCGAGAGAUUUGAAGCAGAAAGAAGAGACGGGAAGUUUUAAGUAGAAAAAUAAUUGAAGACUGGAAUAUAUAAUUGAUUUGCACCUCAACUAUUUAAAUACAAAAGUUCAAGCUAAAAAUAGAAAAAAAAUGUUUUAAAAAUCUGCUAAAAAUCUGGUAACAAAAUAGCAAACAAAUAAAAAAUCUAAUCUCCUAAAAUCAAGAAGAAUUAUUCAAACUUAGUAACAGAAAAAAUUUAAAUGGCAGCAAUCUUAAACCCAUGAUCUUAACAAAGUACUACUUGGAAGCCAACACCCACAAACAUGAUAAAAGUUAAUUUUGAUGAGAGUUUUGACAUGGAAGCAAGAAAUGAGGAAGAGGGUAGUUAUGCAGCAUUGUGAUGAUUUUUUAGUCUGACUAUGCAACCAUCCAAUUUAGGGUGCAUUCUCCAUUGUGGUGAAAAAGCACUUAAAGAACAUUUGGUUUUUGCACUUAAAAUGUGAUGGAAAAAUGUUUUUCCACCCAAAUACAAAAACUAGGAUAUAAAUGUUUUUGACUUUUAGCUUUUAUGUUUGGAAGUGAAAAUUAUCAAAAUAUCAUUAUUUAUAUUAACUAUUUAAAUGGUAUAUAAAAAUUAGAUUAAUUUAUAUUUUAUAUAUCAUUAUAUUAAAUUAUUUAAAUAUUAUUUAUUAUUAUAUAUUUUAAUAAUUUAUAUAUCAUCUAUUUUACAAAUAAUUUAUAUUAAUUACUUAAAAAAUAUUUGGAACUUAUAUUUCAUGUAUCAUUAUAUUAAAUUAUUUAAAUAUCACAUAAUUUAACUAAUUUUUUACUUUCCACUAUCAUGUCUAAAGAAAAGGAUAUUUUAACUUUUAACAAGAAUUUUUUGUAGCAAUGGAGAACACCAAAAAUUAAUAAACACACUUUUUCAUAGUAAUUUUCAACCACACUUUUCAACCGCAACCCUAAUGAAGAAUUAAUCCUUACUAAAGUUACCGAAGCACUAGCUUCCACCGUAGCCAUUGAAAUGGCGCUCCAAUUGGGAUUGCAACACAUUAUUAUUAAAGGAGAUGCUCUCCAAGUGGUUUCGGAGUUGAAGGAAGACAAAGGAGACCUACCAACAACCGGACCUUGAUAGCAAAGAGUUGAAUACUUGCUAAACAGGUUCAGCAAUGUAGGUUUCAACACAGGAAGAGGCAUGCUAAUGAGGUGGCACAUCAUCUGACCAAACAGGGCCUUAAUUGUUUUCCAUCUUUUGUUCAUAUGUUUGUUUUGAAAAGGUAAAACAAAUCCUCACCUAUUGAUGUUAGAACGGUUGAAUUGCUAAAAGCAUGCUGCAUGCAUAACCAUGCUUUAGGUUAGGCUUCAAAUUAAAUAAAUUUUAAAUUAUUUUUAUUUAAAUUUAAUUAUAAAAAUAAAUUAAUAUCAAUAGAAAAUUAUAUAAAAUUUUAAGAUAUUUUAUUUUUCAAUAAUAAAACGAAUCAUUCACCAAACCUAAUUCUUCAAUUUCUUUUUAAUUAGAUCACAACUCAAGCCAAGCUAACCAAUAAACACCCAAAAUCUACCAUCAUUUUCAUUUUCAUUUUUUUUUCUUUUGUGACAAAGUAGACAGAAGAUUCGGUUUGGAUAAGCUCUACGUUAUUAAGUCAAAAGCUGAAGUAAUUUUAAUCAUAAAUUGUUUUAUUUGUCUAUAAUGCAAAACAAUGACCCAGUUAGUACAAUAAAGCUUUAACUUUGUGGAACAUUUCAGUCCAAAAAAAAAAAAAAAAAGAAUUGUGGAAAUUUUAGAGCAGUUGACCAUUUCUUCGGAAUUAGUUUUCUCACUUCUUGUCCAUAUUCCAUGUAUAUUAUUUCAAGAAAUUAGGUUUAGAAAUUUGCAUAAUUCAACCAUUGAACUAAUAAAUAUUAAACAAAAAUUGGGUGGCAAAAAAAAUCUUAUUAAAAUCAUAUACUAUUACUAAAAUUUAUGAUUAAAUUAGUGUCACGAGUUAACGGGACAUUAACAAAUUAUAUUAUUUGAGGGUAUUUUAAUCUUUUUAUUAAAAAAGAUGAUGUCUCAAAUUAACUCACAAUCUAAUCUAAUUUUUCAUUUUAAUAUUGUAAAUAUUUCAUGUUUUAUUAUUAAUUUGUUUCAAAUUAUACAUUUCAUUAUUUAUUUUAUGUUAUUUUUAAACACAUCUGUAUUCUAAGUACCUAAUUUUCACUUAUGGGUAUCAGAGGCGAAUCUAGGGAGGCUGAUAGGGGUCUCGGUCCCCUUAAAAUAGAAAAUUAUUAUUUAAGCCAUUUAGAAAAUUUUAAAAUUUUAAAUUAGUAAAUGUAAAAUUACACUUUGACCCCUCUAAAAUUAUAAAAAUUUGAUUUAAUCCUUUAAAAAUUAUAAAGAUAUAAACUAUUAAAAAUAAAAAUUUCAUUUCGGCCCUGCCUAAAAAAUUUUUUUGACUUCACCCCUAAAGUAUGAUAGAGUUUCUAGUAUGAAUAAUUUUCUUUGGAAGUGUUAAACAAACAAAGGAGUUAAGUAAACAGUAGUUUUCAUACAGAAAUAUUCGGCGUUGAUGUUUCCCUUUCGAAUAAUUAAAUUAAGACUUAGGAAAAGGGAAAACAAUGAAAAAGAAACUAAAAUUGAGCUUAAUUUAUGGAGUUGGGUUAAAAUUUUAAUAUUUAAAUAUAAAAAUUCUAAUAAUUUGAUCUGGUCCGUUUCAUCUAGCAGACUAAUAAUAAAUCUUAAAACAUAUUAUAUUUUAAUUUAAAUAAAACCAAAACUAAUACACUUGACCUACAUCUACAUGUGAUCUAUGCUUCAUUUAAAUUAGUCUAAAUUAGACGAGAUCUUGAUUAGGAGUCAUUUAUUUAUAUUAUAAGUCCCUGAAACAUGCAAAACUUACAUUUAAAAAUUAAUAUUUUUACGUUGUUGUUAGAAUAUAGGGUUUGUUAAUGUUUUCGUGUGAAGUCAGCUGUUGACAUUACCAAUCAGAUAAUGAAAAGGAAACAUGGCAAUUAUUCCAUCCUAAUUGUCACCAAAUUAAGUUAAUCCAAAAAUUACCAAACGUUUAGUACUUCAAUGGUAGAGUCAGCUCUUUCUUCUAGUCUAUCAAAAAAAGUCAAUUUAACCCCUAACUCUUGGAUGGAAAAGUUUUUGCUAUGAACUUGUUGAAGUGAAUCUCAUGUGAUAUAAACGCAUCGCAAUCUCCGUGUGUAACUAAAAAUAUUUGAGAGAUUGAAUAAUUUAAAGGGGAAAAAAAAAGAAUUUACUCCCUCCACUAACAAAUUACUCUUGCCAACGUAUGUAUGAAAGUAAACACCUUUAAUUAAUCAACAAAUGCUAAAGUUCGAGGUUUAGAAUUAAUUAAAUACCAAUAUAAAUAGUUAAUUACUUUUUUGAAAUAAGGAUAAAUCAGUUUGUGAGGUUUGAAUUUUUUGUAUCUUAACAAUUGUUCUGACUUUAGAGUUUGAAGGUUUUUUUUUUAUCCAAAUUAACCUAUGAACUUAGUAAUUUGUCUCUCAUUAAGGUUUAAAUUUUUUAUUUAUCUAAGUUAAUUCUUAAAAAUCUUGAAAUUCGAGAAUAAUUGUCAAGUUAAAAAAAUUUAGAUUUCAAUAUGAGAAUAAUCUACUAGUUCGUAACCUUAAUAUAAAAACAAUUGUUAAGUUGAAAACUUAAUUUAAAAACAAAUUCAAACCCUUCUUAAGUUUACGAUUUAACCCUUUGAAAUAUUGCGUUAACUAGUAAGAGUAAGAAUUAUUUUGUGUUGAUGAUUAAAUAAAUAUUUAAGUGGAGAUCAAGUUUUACCUCAUUUGUCAAUUGUCAGGUGAAGAAUAUAUACCCCUAAAGGCCUAUCAAAAACGGACCUAUCUCUAUCUAUAUAUCUUAACUAAUUUACUAUUCAUUUUUAAUGAAAAUCAAUAAAUCAAUGAAAACGUUAUAAAAAGAAAACUACGUGAAUAAAUUAUAUGUGUAAAAUUGAAAUAUUUCUUAUUUUAGUACAAUGGUAAGGAACAUUACAUUUUUAAGGAAAUGAUGUCAGGUUCAAACCUUAAAGAUAAUAUUCUUCUUCUUGAGAAGAACAAUCCCAAACUCCAAAAUGAACCCUUAUGAAUUAUAUAAAAAAAUUUUGAAAUAUUUCUAUAAAAUAUCAUUAAAGUUUUUUAUUUAAAAAAUGUUAUGGGUAUACUUUUACCUCUUGUAAAAAAGUCUUUCAUUUCUCAAUUCUUAUGGCAUAGUAAAUUUAUCAUUAAUUUUCAUCUUUAGGUAAAAAAAAUGGUUAUUAUUUGUGUAUUAAAUAAUUGUUAGGAUAAAUUUUAAAAUUGUAUAUGAAUUUUGGUUUAAUGUUAAUUAUAUACAUUAAUUUUAAUUUUAUGUAAUUUUAUAAAUGAAAUUUUAAUUUGAUCCAAUUCUAACAAAUUAUUAACACAGUUAUUGAUAUAACAUCAUUUUAUGUUUAUAUGCUAUAUACAGAAAUAAUUAUGUUUAUUCAAUAUAAAAAUAAAUUGAUGUAUUUAUUUCUUUAAACAUAUAUGAUUGAAUCAAAAUUAAAACAUCGUGUAUAUAUUUGAACCACAAUUAAAAUUUUACAUAUAAAAUUACAUAAAAUUACAAUUUAUAUACGUAAUAAACUAAAAUUCAUAUAUAAUUUUAAGAUUUAUGUCCACAAUUCUCUAAAGCUAAACGGUGAUGAUUACCAUGGAAAUUCAAUGUACUUAACUAAUUGGUUGAUAGGAACAGGCAUGAUGAAAUCCAUGAUGGGAAGAGAGAGAAUUCAAAAACUGGAAUGCCCCCAUUAAUCCAUGCAAAUAAACUUUUUCGGUAUUACAUCAUAAUUCAUUUAAUUUUAUCAUCAUCUCUAUGCCAUAACCAUGUUUAAAGUAAAAUACUUAUAUAAAUUGAGACAUUAAUAGUUUGUAUUAUAUAAAUUAUGACAUCCAUAUAUCCAUAUUAUAAUUUUUAUGAAAAAUUAGAGCUGGCAGAUAAAAAAUGGCUUACUGAUCAAUGAAAAAUAAACUUUAUUUCUUGUAAAUUGACUUAUCCUUUUAAAAAGUAUAAAUAUUUUUUUAAAAUUCAUUUAUGAGUAAUUUUAUUAUUAUAAAAAUUAAUUUUGCAAAGUCUAAUAUUAUUAUAUUAAUAAUUUUAUUUUAAAACUAUUUAAAAAUACUAAUAUCAAAUAUUAUAAUGUUGAAUCCUAGUAACAUACAUAUUAAAUUAUUUAAAUUAUGUAAUAUUGCAAUUUUAUUUUAAUACUAAAUUUUAACAACAAUAAUUUUAAAUUUUAGAUCAUAUUUUUAAUAUAUUAUUGAAAAAUAUUUAUAUUAAUAUUUUAAUAAUAAAUAUAUAUAUUAAAAUUUAUAAAUAUUUAAUAAUAAAUGUUUUAUAGUAUAAAAUAUGAAUAUUUUAAUUAUAUAGAUAUGAGCAUUUGUUUAAAUCAUGUUUAGUUUCAUUUAUCUCCCAACUAUAAUGUGUUAUUAUACACCGUCAUAUAUAUAAUAUAUGUAAUUUAAGCAUUGUUUAUUAUUAAAUUUAUAUAUGAUAUUAAUUAUUAUAAAAUAUUAUCUUAUUAUAAAAGAAAUUCUAAUUAUCAAAAAGAAAUGUUACUUUAAUAUUUUGUAACAAGUAUAUUUAUGUUGGGCUUGUUUCAAUAAUAACUUUAAAAUGAUUUUAGAAAAAAAAUUGUCAAAUAAUAAAAAAAUAUUUUAAGCAAAAUAAUUCAAACACAAAAAACUAUCAACUUUUCCAUAAAAUCAAUCCAAUUUUAAGAAAACAUUUUGUGAAAAUUGUUUUAGGUAAAACAAAAGGAACCUAUAUUUUAUAUAGUAUUUGAAAAGUUGUUGUAUCUAGAAUUAUUAUCUUAAAUAUUUUUUUAGGUCUAAUUUUAAAUUUCAUCCCUUUAUGAAAAUUGAGAAGUUAAAUUUUCUAUUUUACUUUAUCAGUCUGUGCUUGAUUGUUUAUUAAUUUGUCGUGUAUAAAUGGUUAAAUUAUUGAUUUUUGUUAAUUACUAGCAUGUAAAUUGUCAAACUACUUGUUCUCAAGGGAACGGUAAAGUUUAAUAGUAUUAUCAAUUUAGAACAAUUUUUGAGUUUUUUCUUUUAUUUUUCAUGUUCGAGUCCAUAAUUACUCCUUCUAAUAAUGUCGUCUUUAAAGUUUGAGUUCGAAUUCAAAUUCUCUUUUUGGAAGUACAAUAUGCCUUAUAAUUAUACCUAAUACUUUUGAUUUUUGUAAAAUAUAAGAAUCAAAAUUGUGUAGUAGGAUUAAUUUCUAGAUUUUUUAAAUUUAAAAUUUAUAAUAUUAUCAAUCGCAUCACACACAAAACCAAAGAACAAGAGAAUCUAAAAAACACGUGGACCAUUAAUUUAGGAAUGGACAUUAUAUUUUAUUAGUGGAAUAAACUCAUGCAAAAUGGUUGGAAAACACAUACAGGAUUAUAUAUACUAAUCAUUUUUAUUAUUAAGCAGAAUCGGAAAUAAAUAAAUACGAGCGAAACCACUGAAUAAUACAGCAUUGAAAUGCAAUUUGUCUACAUCAUUAUUGUUCUUCACUUCAAACGCGGAGACUAGUCUAGGCUCCCAAUCUUUUGCUUUAUCUCUCUAGAUAUAUCCUUUUCAAACUAUCUUUUUGUAGCUUUAUUUGCAUCACAGCAUUAUCUUUUCCUGCAAACAACUGUUCAAUGAUUAAAACAUGCAAAACAUUCUGAAAUAAUGCACCCUUACCAGAUGACAAAAAAAAAAAAAGAUUCUAAUGUAUCUUACCUUGGAUUGGAGCACGGUCAAAGCCGUGGCUUAGUAGUGGUGAGGAGGAGGGGGUGAAGCGUAGACAUAAUGGGGUGGUGGUGGUGGAGGAGACUUGUAUUUGUAAACUGGAGGAGGAGGUGGUGGAGACUUGUACUUGUAAGGGUGCUUGGGGGGUGAUGGUGGGGGUGGUGGGGGUGACUUGUACUUGUAGGGGUGCUUGGGUGGUGACGGUGGGGGUGGGGACUUGUACUUGUAAGGAUGCUUGGGGGGUGAUGGUGGUGGUGGUGGAGGUGACUUGUACUUGUAGGGGUGCUUGGGUGGUGACGGUGGGGGUGGGGACUUGUACUUGUAAGGGUGCUUGGGUGGUGACGGUGGUGGUGGUGGGGGGGACUUGUACUUGUAGGGAUGCUUUGGUGGGGAUGGUGGUGGUGGUGGUGGGGACUUGUACUUGUAGGGAUGCUUAGGUGGUGAUGGUGGUGGUGGUGGAGACUUGUAUUUGUAAGGAUGCUUUGGUGGUGAUGGUGGUGGAGGUGGUGGGGACUUGUACUUGUAAGGGUGCUUGGGUGGUGAUGGAGGUGGAGGUGGUGGAGACUUAUACUUGUAAACUGGAGGUGGUGGGGGUGGAGACUUGUACUUGUAAGGGUGCUUGGGUGGUGACGGAGGUGGAGGUGGUGGAGACUUAUACUUGUAAACUGGAGGUGGUGGGGGUGGAGACUUGUACUUGUAAGGGUGCUUGGGUGGUGAUGGUGGGG